AACCGCCUAUAUAUAGACCCCUCGUUCUAAAGCCCCAGCCAGAUCUAGUCGGUUCUCCAGUCCUGAAUAGUUCCUCCUGUUUCUCCGUCUCCGGUUGGUUCUACUUCUCUGUUCUCUUUCAGAUUUCGAGUUGGCUUUGCUCUAUCCUUCAUCAAUGGCGCAAGUUAGCAUCGCGAAGGCCUUAAUGCUCGUUUUCGUAGUCGCGAUCUUCUCUGCGGCUGCCACAGUCUCGGCGCUGGAUAACUCACCUGCGCCGGCCCCAUCGCCGGACGCUGGAUCGGCGUUCUCCCUCCCGCUAUCCGGCGCUGUUGUUGCCUCCUCUCUCGUUUUUUCUCUACUCGCCUUUUUGAAGUACUGAGUUUGGCUAUGAGAAGUUUUUAUCGUGGAGAUCGUGGAUUCAUUCUGUAGAGACUUUGAUGAUUGUAUUUGAUUUAUUCAUGAUCUACAUUAUUUAUUUAUUUUUAAGUAAAUAAAAUUUUAAUUAAUUUUGUUACAUUGAUCUGUCUAUUCCCUUUCUGAUUCCCUCUUACGCAAAUUUUGCUUGCUUUUGAUUUAAAAAAGAAUGCUUCAGAAAUCACAGUGAAAAGAAUAUUCAUCAGGAUUAUAGAUUUCAAAAGCAACUCCAACAAAUUAGUAUAUUGUUAUCAAUCAAUAUUUGAAGAUUAAUUUUUUUUUAAAUUUAAUUAGGAGAUAAAUUUGCAAUGUAAAAUUCUGGAUAAAAAUUAUUUAGCAUGAAUCAUUUUUUAUGAUGCAACGCCCCUGGAGGUGUAAAAUGGAGAAUUAAAAAGGAACUAAAGCAUCAAUGGCAACUUUUUUCUAGAAAAUGACAUUAAAAUUUGAAUUUAAGUCACAAUCCACUAUCCACAUUGGUUAUUAAGAUUAAAAUAGAGUUAUUGGAUGAAAGAUUUUGAGUGUACAAGAAUUUUAGAAGAUUUAAUGUUCUUCUACAUUGAAAGAAACAUAUUUAGGAACAUUCAAAUCUAAAGUAAAUUUUUUUUAUUUCUUUAAAUCUAGGUCCGUUUAUAUUUAAUAAUGCAUGCUUUCUUCCUUUGCUUAGGAUCUAGAGGCCUAGGAAAGUUUUUUCUGCUCUUAAUGUGAUAAUGGGAUAGGGAAUGAAGAAAUCUAAAAUUUCCUACAACAAGAAUAUCAUAGCCUAAUUUGAAGUUGAGAAAUGUAUGUUAAUGUUAUACUUUGUGCAAUAAAUUUAGUAAAAUAGUCACCAAGAAUGUUAUUGCUAAUUUGAUAAAAGGAGAAAAAUUAGAUGACAAUAAUUAUGAUAUAUAACGUAGAAAAAUUCAUUACCUAUUAAGUGAACAAGAGAUCUUGAAGACCUUAACUAAUGUCAUGAUCCAAUCCAAAGAAGAGAAUUUAGCUUAACAUCACCAUGAUUUGGAAACUUAUUAUUCUUUGUGUUAGAAAAAAAAAAAAAAAAGACUAAUCCAACCUACGGUAAUCACCCUAGGGGGGUGAAUAGGGUGAUGAUCUAUUUUUCUAAAUUUAAACUAUGUGAAUGUUAGAAACAUAUAUAUGCAAGUAUAUAAUAAAACAAUAUAAAAACAAUUACAAAUAAAGUAAAGGAAUGGGGAAAAGAUAAUGUAAACAUAAGAUUUUUAUAGUGGUUCGGCGCAACCCGACCUACAUCCAUUCUCCUCCAACAUUAAUCCCAAACUUAGAUUAUUCUUUUCAAAUAUAUGCAAAUAAUUUCACAAACUCCUAGUAUAAAACUUUAGACUCAAAUGAUACAUGUAAACUAGGAUUGAAUAGUGUACUAAAGAUAUACAAGUUUUAGAACAAUGAUGUACUAAAAAACACUUUUCCAAAGCUCAAAUAUAUUUAAGAAAUGUUUAGGAAGGUUAAACUCAUAAAAUAAUAAAGAUUUGAGUCUUUUUAUAAAAUAAAAAAGUCAAACUAGUCAUUGGGGGGUCGACCGAUCAAUUUGGGGGUCGAAUGAUUAACUAGGCGUUAGUAUUUAAUAUUUGGCAAGUGGUCGUUGGACCUCGAUUGGUUACUAUUCAUACAUUGACUGGUUUAGGUGGGGGUCGAUCGGUUAUUGUUUACACAUUGACCGAUAGAAUAAUUGUUUUGGAAGAGAUAUAAGGUUUUUUUGCACCCCUUGACGGAUUAAGCUAGGGGGUCGACCGAUUCCUCAUCCAGUUCAACCAGUUGAGCCGUUUUUGGCUUAAUAACCAACCUUUUAAAUAAGUUUGGAAAACAUUUGAUAUAAGGAUUUAGUUGAAAACAUGGAAUCAUCUAAAUUUAAAAAAUUUAAAACAAAAUAACUCUUAGAUGAUUUUGGUGCAUAAGUAAAGAAUAUAAUGCAUGAAAAUCAUAGUGCACCAAUAACCUUACAAAGAGAUCUCAUAAAAUUUGGGUUUUGAAAAACACUUCUCUUUGAGAUCUUCUUUUUCUUCGUAAUUUUUCUUUGACUUGAUUUGUCUUUGUAAUUGUCAUUUUGAAAAUCGUCUUACCUAAUCACACUUAAAAUAUAAUUAUUAGUUCUAAACCAUAUUUUGUUAUCAUCAAAACCAAGAUUAAUCAAACUUUGGUUUCACACUUGUGUUAAAAGAGACUAUUGUUCAUGUUUCACUAUAGUAACAUGCACAAUGACUUAAUAUGGGAGUUUGAGAAUUGUCCCACUGCUUAAGACAUGUGGAAUAAGCUUAAGAUUGCCUAUGGUUUGACAUAUGCAACUAGGUUGCGAGUGCUCACUUUGUAGUUCGAGUAAUAUGUCUUGGACCCCAAACACACCAUGUUUAAACAUUUUAGGAUAAUGUCAGUAAUAAUUCGUGAUUUAAAGGUAGUCAAUAAUAACCUAACUUAUGAGUAACAAGUCACAAUUGUUAUUUGUUAUUUACUUGAAUCAUAAGGACAAAUAAAACUUAAUACUCAUGCAUAAUGAGAAUAUUAAAACUUUUACUAAUAUUUUUCACCAGAUUAAGUUAGAAAAUGAGUGUUUAGGGCUAUGACAUACCACACUUGUCGCCCAUGCAGGGUACAACAUGGUAAUAAGCCUAAACAUAAGGGACAAGGAAAACACGGUUAGACAAUUGGAAACUUGGGCCGAAAAAAAGGAAAUCAUAAUAAAAAUAGAAAAAAAAAAAAAAAAAAAAGCAAAUGAGGUGAAAAUAAGGAUAAGCAUAAAAAAAAAUGCUACAACUAUGGAAAACUAGGUGUCUCUGCUCGUGAGUGUAUUAAGCUAAAGAAGGUAUAGCCAUAUCCUAAUUUUCGACAUGGUGGACUGUAGGCUUAGGAGCAAUAAAACAUGUAACAAGGAAUAAAGUGACAUUGGGUGGUUGGCGCCGUGUUUUUACUUGACGUGUUUUAUAGUUUCUUAAAAAGUUUUUUCCUCCUCAAGGAGACAACGAUGGAAAAUUAAUUCAUAUUUAAUUUAUAUCAAUUGGUAUUAUUUUUCAUUUUUUAAUUAUAUAAUAUUGGCACAAAUAUGGAGAGAUUUUUUUUCAUAGAUUUGUUUCUAAGUUUUAUUUCUUUAUAUAUUUAUUCAAAUUAAUUUUAUUUAAUCUUAUUUAUAAUAAAUUAAAAAUACAUUAAUUAGGUGGCGGGGUAUGCUUCUACUGUUACCUUUUUAAAGUUAGAAAUAUUAAUGUUUUCUAAUUAUAUAUUUUAUUUUUGUAAAUUUUAAAAAUGCCUCUUAUUUCUUAUUUUUUAUUUUUAAAAAUAGAAAAUAAAAAUAAAUUUGACAAUCAUAUAUAAAAAGGUACAUUUGUUUAUGUUGACACAUCAUAGAUGAGUGUUGUUUGUUGUACAGGAAAAAAAUAAAUAUUAUUAUAGAAUUCUUAUUUUACAACCUUUUAAAAGCUUAAUUAUUGUGAAAUAAUAUUUAAUGUAAUUUAAUAAUGAAUAUAUAUAUUUACAAAAUUCAUAUUUUUUUAUCAACAUACCCCAUAUUAAUAUUAAAUAUAACAAAUUAUAUUAUAUAAAUAUUAAUUUUUUCAACAACAUAACUUCAAAAUAUCUAUUAUUAUUUCUUAUAUCAUUUUUAAUUAUUUUUUAAGUUUUUAUUAAUUUUCAUUUUAUCAAAAUUAUGUCUCAAAAUAUUUAUUGAUAUUUUUAUUUAUAUAUCUAUAAAAUCAAAUUACUAAUACAUCAAUAAAAAUCAAUAUUUUUAUCCUUACUUACAAAGCGCUUUAUAUUUUCUAUCAAUUUAAUUAUUUUUAAAAUAUAAUUACUGAGAAAAAAUAGUAUAUAAUGUUUAUAUUUAAAAUAAAAAUAUCCAUAUAUCUAGGUCAGUCAAGAUUACUAAUGAAUUUAAAUUUCAAAAAAAAAAAAAUAUAUAUAUAUAUAUAUAUAAACAGGCACAAUAAUUAUCGUUUUAACAAAAAUAAGAUAAAAUUAUCUCUGAUGUGAAAAGGAGAACAGAACCCUGCUUGAAUGGGAACUCUUUUUCUUUUGGUCCAGCCUAGAGAGACGUUAGGUGGUUCUCAAAAGGCGAAAUAAGAUUUAAGGAAAAGGUUCGGCGCCUUCUCCCACCCAACGGAUCUCGCUGUGGACCAAUGGGCACAUGACAAAUGAGCUGUUUGGUACAGGUGGCAGCAUCUGACCAUCUGUCACUAUUCACUGUGGGGUCCACACGUCUCCCCCACACGGUCACACCGCCUAUAUAUAGACCCCUGAUUCUGAAGCAUUAGCCAUAUCUACUCAUUCUCCCGAAUACUUUCUUCUGCUUCUCUGUUCUCUUUCAGAUUUCGAGUUGGCUUUGCUCUAUCCUUCGUCAAUGGCGCAAGUUAGCAUCGCGAAGGCCUUUAUGCUCGUUUUCGUAGUCGCGAUCUUCUCUGCGGCUGCCACAGUCUCGGCGCUGGAUAACUCACCUGCGCCGGCCCCAUCGCCGGACGCUGGAUCGGCGUUCUCCCUCCCGCUAUCCGGCGCUGUUGUUGCCUCCUCUCUCGUUUUUUCUCUACUCGCCUUUUUGAAGUACUGAGUUUGGCUAUGUGAGAAGUUUUCAUCGUGGAGAUCGUGGAUUCACUCUGUAGAGACAUUGAUGAUUGUAUUUGAUUUAUUCAUGAUCUACAUUAUUUAUUUAUUUUUAAGUAAAUAAAAUUUUAAUUAAUUUUGUUACAUUGAUCUGUCUAUUCCCUUUCUGAUUCCCCCUUUCGCAAAUUCUAUUUUGUCAUUAAAAAUUAUGCUAUAAGUUUAAUAAAUAAUAAAACAAUAUGGAUUUGAACCUCCUUUAAACUAAAAUUCAGUUGUGGUGCAAAAUGGACUAAAAAGGGACUAAUGCAUGAAUGGUAACUUUUUUUUUUUUUCUUAAAAAAAAAACAUUAAAUGAGUAUUUUUGUCUUUUAUGUUUCCUCGUGGAUGCUUGCUAUUGAAAAUCUUAUUUUUUUUAUUUUCCUCUUGUAUUGAACAACUAGGUUCCAUUUUUUUCCAUCCCAACCACGAAUGGUUAGGGGUCUAUUCUUAUGGUAUGUUUGAAAAAAAUCAAUAUUCAAUACAUUCAUGUCUUACCACUCAUUAAAAAUAGCUAAAAUAUCUUUUAAAAUUUAUUUUUAAAUUUUGAAAUAGUAAAACUUUUUUACCCCUUCGAUUUCUUAAAAUAAUUUUUUUUUAAAUACUUGUCUUCGUUUUACUUAAAGACUCAAAACAAUUGAACUUAGGUACAAAAUAACGAAAAGUAAAAAAAAAAAAACGCACACACAAAUAUACAUAUAAAUAAAUAAAACUUAAGUCCAAUAAUCAUCUAUUAACACCACUUUUAUUUUAUAACACUAUUGAUCGUCAUACAUUCUACAUAAUUAAACUAUGAUGGAAAACUAUUUCUUGAAGUUUAAUUCUGAGAUAAUUUUAACAAAGAGAUUAUCAUGAUCAAUGAUGACGUGGAUUAAUUGUCAAAAAUAUCAAACAUCGGAUUAGGGCCCUCCUAAGUAAUUAAAGAUAUCCAUAGGUAAAAAUAGGAGAAAAUAAUCCCUCAAGGGUAAAAAGGAGAACACCGGUUCUCUGGUGACCUUUUCCCUUUGGGCCCAGUCCUAAGAGACGUUGGGUGGAUCUCAAAAGGCAAAACAAGAUUUAAGGAGAAGGUUCGGCGCCUCCUCCAACCCAACCGACCUAGCUGUGGACCAAUCGGCACAUGCCAAAUGAGCUGUUGGUACAGGUGGCAGCACCUGUCCAGCUGUCACUAUUCACCGUGGGGUCCACACUUCUCGCGCAAACCUCCUAUAUAUCGACCCCUCGUUCUGAAGCCCAGUCACAUCUUCCAGGUGCUCUCCGCUCGAAUAGUUUUCCUGUGUCUCUGUCUCCGGUUGGUUGGUUCUAUUUCUCUGCUCUCUUUCAGCUUUCGAGUUGGUUUUAGUGCUCUGUCCUUCAUCAAUGGCGCAAGUUAGCAUCGCGAAGGCCUUCGUGCUCCUUUUCGUUGUCGCGAUCUUCUCUGUGGCUACCACAGUCUCUGCGCAGGAUAACUCCCCUGCGCCGGCUCUAUCGCCGGACGCUGGAUCUGCGUUCUCCCUCCCUCUAUCCGGCAGUGUUAUAGUCUCCUCUCUCGUGUUUUCGCUUCUCGCUCUCUUGAAGUACUGAGUUCGGAUAUUUGAGAAAAUUUUAAUUUUUAUGUGAGGAUUGAGGAUUGUACUUGAUUCAUUCAUGAUCUAUAUUAUUUAUUUAUUUUAAGGAAAUAAAAUUUAUUUUAUUUUAUCACAUUGUUCUGUUUAUUCCUGAGAAAUGGAGAACUUUUUGUAUGCUUGGACCUCACGAAACAUUGCACAAACUUCAUGUGGACCAAAUCUAAUAAUGAAUUUGAAUUUGAAAAACAAUAAUAACAAAUUGGGAUCAUUCGUCAUGUUGUGGGUAAUACUUUUCUAAGGAUUAAACAUUUGAAGCGAUUUCUUGUCCGAAACCACUUAUAAUUACGCGUGUUUGACCCUGUUUCAGUUUUGUAAUUUUUGUCUUUGUUUUUCCUCAACAUUAUAUUAAAUUUUUUUGAAUAUUUAAAUUGGGUUAGAAAAACUUUUUAUAUUCCCAAUAAUAAGAUCGAAAGUAAUUGCCAUACGUUUAAUAUAUAUACAAUUUCUAAUAAUGAAUAUAGAUUUUUAAAAUACAAAUAUCAAACGCGUAUUUGGAAAUUGUUUAUUUUUAAUAAUAAAAAACAAAUCUACAACUUUAAAAAUAGAAAGGAAAUCAACGAAAAUUAAUCUUAUAACUAAGAAAGCGGUUUGACAAAAUUUUGAUAAAAAAAAUAUGUUUUUUUAGAAAUAUUUUAAAAAUAAGUAAAUUUCAUUAGUGUUUUUAAUGUUUAAAAAAAAUAUGGAUUUGAAAUUUUAUUAAAUGUUUUUAUUAUUUUAAAUUAAAUGGAAAGUAAGAAAAAUAAUAAUAAUAUUUGAUAAAAUUUUAAAUGAUUGAUGAUUAUAUAGAUUUAAUUCAAAUUUUAAAUGAGAUAAAUGAAAUUAAUCUGUUUAUUAUUAUUUUGAGGAAUAUGGAAUGAUUUUUAUAUUUUAUAUAAGUAUAUAAUAUUUUUUUUUAAAAAUGAUCAUCAAAAUUAAAAAUAUUUGAAUUUUCAAUGAUUUUUUUUAUAGAAUUUUUAAUAAUAAUUUUGUAUAAAUAAUGCCACAUAAACGACAAAAUAUCUUUGGUGAUUGGGCUUUACGUGUAAAAAAGAAAGCUGAAAAUGGAUCACCUAGCUUUGGUGACUUUUCGUCAGUUCCACUUUCCAAGAGAGCCGUUAUAGAUUUUUCAAAGUAGAGAUAUUUUUGAAAGCAACGUAAAACGGCCACUUCUUGGCUUUCGUGUUUCACACGUAAUUAGAAAUUUAGAAGAAGCAUCUUUUUCUUUGUUUUGUUUUGUUUUUUUUCCACACCCAUGAAUUGAAUGGUAUGUAGAGAGUUGAAUGGAUCGAAUCAUAAAAAGCCAGCCCCUGACCGAGUCACUGAGUCAUUAUGUCUCAAUAAUGAUUCCUAACGGUGAAUCGUCGAAUUCAGAUUUCUUCCAAACUAAAUAGUUUGUAAUUUAUAUUUCUAUAUUGAGAUGUGGGGCAUUAGAGACAAGGAACGUGUCAAAUAAGAAGUACUGCGCCACCCAUCGCCAGCCCCGCCGUGGACCAAUCAGCACAUGCCAUUAAUGAGCUGUUUGGUAUACGUGGAAACCUAUGACCAACGGUUCCCAUUCACACUAGACCCACGCGUCUUUCCAAAGCUACCUAUUUAUAGAACUCAUCUUCUCAAACCCUAAUAGCAUAUUCUCUCAAGAGUUCGAAAACACUUUCAUCUCUAACCUCUCUGUUUUCUCUAUUUCUCGUUGUCUUACGGAGUUUAUUCAAACAUGGCCCAAGUUAGCACCGUGAAGGCCACUAUGAUCCUCUUUGCUAUUGUGAUGUUUGCUGCAGCUGCUACAGUCUCGGCACAAGAAGUUUCUCCGACUCCAUCGCCGGAUGUUGGAUCAGCCUUUUCCGUACCUCUCCCCAAUGCCAUGAUUGUUUCAUCUCUGCUCGUUUCUCUCAUCGCUCUCAUAAAGCAUUGAAAUGGGAUUCGAGAUGUCGAAAUUAUCUUUUAUGUAUUGAUUUUAUAGAAGGAUCGAGUAUUGUAUUGUACUUAUUAUUGAGGAUUGUAUUUGAUUUAUGGAUGAUUCUCAUUAUUUUAUAAAUAAAUAAAUAAAAUUUUAAUUAUCUUUGAUUGUUAUCAUUUUUGUUUUAUUAUUGCACUUUUUGAUUGCAAAAAAAUGCUUUAAAGCAUUGAUUUUAUUAUAUGUCUCUAUUUUUCUCAUUUGAUAAUUUGGAUGAGAAUUGAAAUAUUAUAGGAUCGCAUAUUAACAUUUAAACAUGUAUUUAAUAGCAAAAAUUCAACCGAUUACCUUGAUUUAUGUCAUGGGAAGUCAUUUCUUCUCCCUCUGAUAUCCAAUAAGCUGCUUUUUGGGUGUGUGAUUGUUCGAGAAUUAUGGAUCAAUGAGCUCUUCCCUUACCUUCCAAAAUUCAGUCCAAAGUGCAAAUAUAUGUGUUUGAGUCAGUCAAGUAAAUUAAGAUGAAUCCAUAAAAAAUAAAACAAUAAUAUGUAUCUAGUCCCCUUAUGGAUCACAAUACAAAAAAUAAAUUAACACUUAUUUAUGAUAUUAUCAAAUUGAUUAUGUAAGUCCAUACAUAAAAAUUCCAACAAAUUUUACAUGUUUUUUCUUAUUUAAUAAUUUUAGAUAUUUUUCUUUAAUUUAAAAUAAAUAAGAUAUUUAACAAAAUAUUAAAUUAAUGAAAGUUAAUUAUAUUUAGACAAAACUAAGUGAAAUUAUCCCUUAGUUUAAAUUGGUAAGAUGCUUGUACUUUUUCUUAAAGUAGGUGUCCUAGUCUAGAACAACCAGCUUUACAGCUUACCAGAUUUCCAGAAUUAUUACCCAUGUGCCAACCCAAAAUUUGGCACCAAAAUCAUUUUAUUUUAUUUUAUUUCUAAAUGUUAAUGGGUAAUUACAACAUACAAAUUUUUUUGGAGAAAAUUAUGCUUUAUAGAACUUGAAAUUGACCAUAUGAAUGACAUAAUUGACAGAAAAUAUAUGAAAUUGUAAAAGAUAAAAAUACCAAAGAAAAUGACACAUAAAAUCUUUUUAAAAAUUGAUUGAUUGCACACAUGGUAAUGAUCCCGAAAAAUAUCUUAAUUUUUUAUUUGAUUAAUAUAAGAAAAUGUUAUUUACAAAAUAUCUUUCUUUUUUUUUACAAAAACCAAUUUCUAUUUGAAUUAGAAAAUAUUUAUAAAAAAAAUAAUUUUAUGUUAUAAAAAAAAACUCUCAAAUUUAUUAAGAAAAUAACUAUAAUUUAUUUAUUUUUAUGUUUCUAAUUUUCGGUUUAGAUUUUUUACCCAAUUGGUCAAAGCACAAUUUUCCCCAUUUUUUAUUCACAUUCAUCAUUAAAUGAAUCAAAUAUUUGAAGGCCUUUCUCCUUCAAUAAUGUGCUACAGGGGAAUUGAACGUUGGGCUAAUGCCACCCUCACCAUUUGCGUGACAACAAGGAUUUGAAUAGCAGCAAUUAACUAUUGCCAGCUUGGAAAAAGAAACCUUAGAAAGAAAAAAAAAACUAACGUUCAUUAUUCAAAAUUAAUCAGUCUUUUUGUAUUUUAUAUUAUUAAAUUAAUAAUAAAUAUUAUAAAAGAACAAUUGGGUGUCACAUGCCGACAUGAGGAGUCUAAGACCAACUGGCACAUAACACAAUCAGUUCCCGGGAAACUCGGCUUUUAUCAUGUUUAAUAAUAAAUAAAUAAAAAAUGAUUUAAGAUUAAUAUAUUACAUUAUUUUUCUUAUUCUUACAAUUUAAAAUUGAAUUUAAAAGUAAAGUAAUUAUCGAGGAAGAAUCCACCACACUGUACCCACUCAGCCACAUGCGCCCGUUGAGCUGUUGUCUAGUGGCUGCCUGGCUGGGCCGCUUCACCAGCUGUUAUUAUUCGCAGUGGGCCCUACUUGCCACUCCAACGUCCUAUAUAUUUGGGGUGGCUUCCUCUCUCGGUCUCACCAGCCCUAAGCCACUCUCAAAAUCACUCGCCUCCUUUCUCUCUCUAACUCUCCCUCAGUUUCUCACCGCCGAUCAGCUUCUCCACUGUUCACCAAUGGCGCAAGUUGGCAUGACGAAAGCCUUAAUGCUUGUCUUCGCAGUGGUGGCAAUCUUCUCUACGGCUGCUACAGUGUCGGCUCAAGAUGGCGCCCUGGCACCGGCUCCGUCGCCAGACGUCGGAUCUGCGUUCUCCGUACCUCUCUCCGGCGCUGUUAUGGCUUGCUCUCUUGUCCUCUCUCUUCUCGCUCUCCUGAAGCCUUGAGUUCCGAUCCAUGAGAGAUUGCAGAUUUUGUAUAUGGAUUGAAAUUUGAGGAUCGUAUUAAAUUUAUUCUUUGUUCAUUUGGGAGCAUUAUUAUUGUUACCAUUUUGUGUUAUUAUUUUAUUAUCAUAAUGAUAUAAGAGAUUUAUACUUAUUAUGUCGGAUCCGAUCUGCGUGAUGCUCUCUCUUCUCUUUUCCUCAAGAGAUUGCCAUUCUGAUUUUCUUCCAACGAAGCGAAUUGUUCUUGCAAAAGAAAACACUAAACCAUAAAGUAUUUUUAUAUUUAAACACGCAUGCAUAUGCUGUUUUCCAUAUUUAUUUUCAUUGAAAUAUCAUAGAGAAUUUUUUGUAGGUAAUUUUAUUUAAUAUUUUUUAAAAAUCUAAUCACUGAUAUCUUCCCUUUUAAGCUUUUAAUUUAUUAAUGGAAUUAUUAAAAUUAGAAGUUAAAUAGAGAUGAUUACUGACUUAGUAAUAUGUAUUAUAAUAAGAAAAAUAUAUUUAAUGUAAUAAUUGUAAAUUUAUUUAAAUUUAAAAAUUUUCACUUUAUUCAAUUAAAAUUUCUUAUACUAACCUUUUAUUUAUAUAUUUCUGGACCCCGGCCGCAUGAUUUGCGUUGAUGCAAGAUAAAGUCUACAAAUUAACGGAUAUUUCCAAAAGAAGAAGGGUAACGGUCAUCACCAAAUGUUAUUUUAUUAUGUUAAUAUUUAAUAGUUUUUAAUUUCCUUUUUAUAGAAAAAUAAUACAGAGGGACCCACCAACAUAGCUGUAAAGACACCAACACUGCACUUCACAUGUCCAUUUCAGCGUACGGUUGAAUUGUGACACGUCAUCAGAGUUGGUCUCCAAAGUGGGCCCCACACGCCGCUGCAAUUCACGAACGCUGUUGCUUAUUAUUCUCUCCCGGUUUCCAGAUUGUUCUGUUGUUUAUCUUUCAGUAAUGGCGCAAGUUAGCAUGAACAAAGCCUUGAUGGCCGUCUUCACAGUCGCGGUAGUCUUAUCUGCGGCCGCUACAGUAUCGGCGCAGGAUACUUCGCCGGCCCCGGCUCCAUCUCCAGACGCCGGAUCGGCGUUCUCCCUACCUCUCCCCGGCGUUUUCAUUGUUUCCUCUCUCUUCUUUUCCCUUCUCGCUCUUUUGAAACCUUGAGAUUUAUGGAUUGUAUUGGAUUCAUUCUUUGUUUAUUGAAUGAUAAUGUUUAUGAACAAAAAUCAUGGUAUUAUUUUCGUUGUUCAUGGGAGGGCUUAAAGCUUCGAUUCACUUAUUGCAUAAAUAGAAGCUUGAAUCUCAAUUUGAUAGUGCAAUAGCACAAAAAUAAAAUAAAAUAAUUGAUCUAUAAACGUAUUCGAUUGGAUCAGUCAUAAUUAUAGAAAGAAACCACUUCUUGGAGGCUCCUUUUCAAUAUUUUUUCUUAAUGAGAAUACCAAAUAAUAAAAUUUAAUAUAUAUAUAUAUAUAUAUAUAUAUAUAUAUAUAUAUAUAUAUAUAUAUAUAUCAAUUGAAUAACAAUUAUACUAAUCGAAUUGAGUGGUUGAAUUUUCCCUUUUGAGAAAACAAAAAAAAAGAAAAAAAGGAAAGGAAACGCUAGGUAAGAUUUUGGGAUCGGAAGAUUAUUCAAGGUUUUUUAAAUUGGGUCAAAAAUUCAUAUUUUAUGCACAUUUAAGCUUAAAAUCCAAAUAAAGUGUAAAAAUUAAGUUGAAUGAUAUUUUUCAUUAAUCCUUAAAAUAUUUUUAAACCCUUUGCAUUGAGUGUAAAUUUUAUUUAUUUUUCCAUUUUUUUUCAUUAAGUAUUAAUCAUUUAUAACUUUUUUUUUUUAGAGAUAUUGAAUCUUUUUAUUCUUAUUAUAAGCAAAGAUAAAAAAAUUUCAUAUAAAAUUUAAUGGAUAAUCAAUAAAUGAAAUUUAAUUAUUUUUAUUAUUUUCAUAUAAAAAAUACUACUAAACAAGGUUUUUAAUUUUUAUUUUUUAAUUAAAUGUUUUUUUAAUCAUAUUACCAUUUUUUAGAAAGUAUUUUUUAAAAUAGUUUUUGAACUUAAUUUUUAUUUACUUAUAAUUUAAAAUAUAAAAUAAUGUUGAUUUUCAAUUAUUUAUAAAAAAAAAAUUUUAAAAAUAAUAAAAAAUUCAAAUGGUUAAAAUAUAAUUAUUAUGGUUACAUGAAUAAUGGUGCGAUAAAAAAGAAACUUAUAUGAAAGUUUAAUGGGUAUUUUGAUAUUUUAAUAUCUUAUAUGAUUUCGAUAUGUUAUGUUAUACUUAUCAAACUUUAAUUUUUGGCCCAAAACACAAUUAUACCUUUUAAAUUUAACCGUACCAAUCACGGACUAAAGUGUCAGCUAAAAAAAAACAUAAUGGAACUUUUGGUUUCGCCGCAGAGAUGUGUUGAAUAGCUUUUUUUUUAACGUUUCUUCUUUUUCUUUUCCUACGGUAAAAAUUAGGGUUUGAAAACGACAUACAACGGUUGGUUAUGCUUUAUAUUGAAAAUAAAUAUUGUCUUUAAAUAUUUUUAUUCAAAAAUUCAGUUUUCAAUUAUUUUUUUUAGUAGAACAGAUGGGAUAUUUUUUUUAUAUCAAAUAUAUUUAAGUUCUAGUUUUUAAAAUAAAUUUCCAUUUACCUUAUCGUCUAAAAAUAUUUUGCAUUUUUGAAAAAUAACCUGCAUUUCUUAUUUAUUUUUUUAAUAAUAAUAAACGAAUACACAAAAUGUGAUGAAUGUGAUGAUGCUAAAAGCAUAGCUGAAAAAGGAGAGGGAAAAAAAAAAUUGUUUCCAUAUUUUUUCCUUUCCUUUCCAACAAAUACUUUCGGCGUGAGCCACCGACAUCAACGCUGGGACAUGCCGAAGUUGAGCUGUUCGGUGAAGAUUGUGGCACGUCACCAUAUGUCACAUCAUUAGUGGGGCCCACACACUGUUUUUAAACUCCUCUGGCUCUAUAUAUUUGACCCUCUAAUGCUAGGCGUGACAGACGUUCUAAUCUGCUCUCAAAGUUUCUAGAUCAUUUCCCUUUUUAUCGUUCACUAAUGGCGCAAGUUAGCAUCAUCAAAGCCUUAAUGCUCGUCUUCGCAGUCGCGAUUAUCUCCGCGGCCACUACAGUCUCGGCGCAAGAUGGUUCUCCGGCGCCGUCUCCGUCUCCAGACGCCGGAUAGGCAUUUUCCAUUCCUCUCUCCGGUGCUGUCAUUGCUUCAUCUCUGAUCCUGUCUCUUCUCGCUCUCUUGAAGCAAUGAGCUCCGAUCCGUGAGAGACUCUCAUAUUGCAUUGCUACCGGUUGAUUUUGUAUGGUGAUUGUAUUGAAUUCGUUCUUUUUUUUUUUUUUUUUUUUGUUUUUUGUUAUGAAGAAUUAUAACAAAUUUACAUUUCUUGCUUUGGAUUUGGUCGUGCUGCACCUGUAAUCUCUUGUUCACGCUUCACAAGAUUUAUUUUAAAAAAAAAUUUACAUCAAGGAUCUGAUUGAACUUUUGGGGGAUCCGCGCGAUCGACUUUCAUGUAUUUUGUAUCUCUCGAUGAAGCUAGAGGAACAGAAAUAGGCAGUGUUUAUACCUUCUUGCUUGUUCACGCAAUAUCUAAUAAUAAGUUAAUAACAAUGUUUUCAAAAGCAGUUUCACCACAUUUUCAGUAGCGCAUGUAUUUGAUUGAAUUAGAAAACUCUUUACUGAUUUUUAAAAAAUAAAAAAAUUGUUUCAAAAACUUUUUUAAAAAAAAUAUUUUACCAAAUUCAAAUUCAUAGCGACAGAUAUUCAUCAACGGUUGCUGAAGUACUUAUAUUUUAUAAUUUUGCUUUACAAUGAAGCAUAAAUAAAGUUUACAAAAAUAUGAACAUGUAUUGAUAUAAGGGGCAUAAUAAAUUUAUUAUUGAUAAAUAAGAGGAUAAAAAAAAAUUAUAAAAACCGUUGAACUCACAUUAAUUUGAGAAUACGAGAUUUUAAAAACAACAUAGACAACUCUAUUUGGAGUUCAUUUGUUUAGUUAGUUUAUUAGAUGCAUAAAUUAAAUGUUCUAUUAUUUCAAUAUUUAUCACCAUGAUUCUUUUAACAUAUACCAUUUGAAGUUUCAUGCUUAGACUAGAGAACCAGUGGGAGAAAAUAUGUUUGAAUAUUUAUUUUUUGUUUUUCAUUCUUUAAAAAUUCAAAAAAUAGAAAAAGUGAAAAACUAAUUUGGUUGGUGUUUUCAUAUUUGAGUUUAUGAUCAAGGUAACAUUAAAAAAAAAUAAAAAAUAAAAAAUCUAAACCUAUGAUAAAAAUAUUUGUUAAAAUAAUACAUUGAUAUAGUAUCAAGUUUCACUUUAUUAUUUAUUUAUUUUUUGUUUUUUCAUUUUAAAAUCAUAAUUAGUAAUUAUGGUUUUAGCUUUGAAGUUUAAACAAUAAUUAAAACUCGUUUAAUAAUGACUUUAGAAAUUGUUUCUAACCAAUAAAUAGUUAAAAACAAAAUUUAUUAAAGUGUUAAAAAGUUUAGAAAUCUUUUAUAAAAAUAAUAUCAAACACAUUAUUAUUGACGGUGGUUUUUAAAAUCAUUGUUGAUAAUCAUGGUUUUAAAUCAUCAAAUAUAAUCUUUGACAUAAAAAAAAGUCAUUUAAUUGAUUACAUAAUUAUAAAUAUUUUAAGAAAGAUCUAUUUUUAUUGUUAUUUUCAAAAGCACUUUUUUAACCUUAAAUCCUUCAAAAUUUCCUUAAAAACUAAACAAGUGAAAAUAGUUAAAAAAAGUAAAAACAUGAAAGUUAAUAAAAUAAUGUAAAAUAAAUAAAAUGAAUGUGAAUAUUUAUUAAUUAUGAUUCAAAGUCAAAUUAAGACAAUGAAAAUAUCGGUAAUUACUGAUAUAUUGAUAUUUUGAUUUUACGGAUUUUUUUUUUUGAAAAUAUAGAUAUAUUUAAAAUUAAUCAAAAUUUAUGAAAAUAUAAGAAAAAUCCCAUAAAAAUGCAAUUAGAAGUAUAAUAGAUAUUUUAAAUUUAUUUUGUUAAAUAAUUUGAUAUAUGCAUGAUAUAAUUUAUCAUAUUUAAUAAUAAUUUCGUAUACAUCGAUAAAAAAUAUGAAUUUUAUAAGUAUACAUUUAUUAUUAAAUUAUAUUUUAUGUAAAAUAUUGUAUUUUUUUUACUAUAAGUCUAUAAUAUAUCUAAUUUAAAAAUAUAUUUAAUAUCAAAAUUUUAAUCUAUUUAAUUCAAUUAUAUUAAAUGAUAUAAAAUAAAUGGUGAUAUAUGUAUAAUUAUAAUAUUUAAUAAUAAUGUUUAUAACUUGAAAACAUAUUUUAUGCAUAUACAUCUAAUUUUGACGUAUUUAAUAACAUAAAAAAUAAUGAUAAUUUGCAUAAGUAUUUUUUAUUUUAAAAUUUUGAUAAUUUUAUUCAAAAAUUAAUAGUUAUUUUAUAUGUAAUUAUUAUAUAAAAGUCACAAUAACCAAAAUUAAUUUAUUUAUACUAAAUUUAUUCUGAUUAAUUUAUAAUUAUAUAUAUAACAUUUAUUUAGACAAAAACAUAGUUGGUUGGCUGGUGUUGGUGGGUGAUUGUGAGUGUGAGGUUGGGGGUUCAAAUCCUUUUCCAUUUGGUGUUUGGAUUGUCGAUGUGGGUGCAUUGAAGAAGUGGAGUACUCAUAGCGUGCAGCACCAGCUAGUUGGAUUGGGCCAACAGAAGAGUUUUGGGGAAAAAUUGGAAUCCCACAUCGACAAUCCAUGACACCAAAAAGGUGUAUCGGAGAAGUGGAGUACUCAUAGGCAUGCACUGCCAGGCUAGUUGGGUUGGGCCAACAGAAGAGUUUUGGGGUAAUGUGGUAAUGUGGCACCGAACUAUCAACAUUUUCAUUUGGAUAUCACAAUAUUAUUAUAUUUUUCAUAUUUGUACUAAUAAUAUUUCACUUGAAAGUAAUUAUUUUUUAAAUCAAAUAUUUUAAAAAUAAAUAUGCCUAUUUGAUCAGUAUUUUUGUUAAUUAUAGAUAUAUGAAAAUAUUUUGUUGUACUAUUUAAAUAAUUUUUUUUAUCACACAUCGAGAAAAUAAAAUAAAAUGUAAUGAAUAAAUAUAACAUAAUUAUUUGUAAAUAAAAAUUAAUACCUAAUAAAAUAAUAUAAUUGAUCAAUUCUUUUAUUAAUUAUAGUCAUAUUAUUUAAAAGAAAACUAAUUAAUAGAGAAAAAAAUAAAAAAGAAUAAUCAAUAUAUACAAUUGGAUAAGAAAAUAAAAUGUAAAAAAUAAAAACGUUUCCACACCAAACACAACUUUAGAGCAAAUAAGGAGAACAAGUAAAAUAAAAUUGAUUUGGAAUUUAUCUUAAAAGGGUUGAUUUCAAAGAAAUUUAGAAGUUUUCCAACUAAGAAAACGAGUGAGAAAGCAUGUUCUAGAGAAAGGCGCGACACGUGCCAAUUGUCGGUGAGCUGUUUCCAUUCACAGUGGGGUCCACACGCCCCUCCAAAACUACUAUAUAUAAGAUUCACCCCUUCACUAUAUCUAUCAAGAAGCACUCGGCCUUCUCUCUUGCUUUAUUUUUCUCUUUUUAGUUCAUAACUGGUGUGCGCUUCUGUAUCCUUCGCUAAUGGCGCAAGUUAGCAUCGUCAGAGCCUUGAUGCUCGUCUUCGUGGUCGCGAUCUUCUCCGCGGCCGCUACAGUUUCCACGCAAGAUGUUUCUCCGGCGCCGGCUCCGUCUCCAGACGCCGGAUCAGCGUUCUCUGUACCUUUCCCGUACGCUGUGAUUGCCUCCUCUCUCAUCUUGUCUCUUUUCGCUCUCUUGAAGCCUUGAGUCACGAUCUAUAAUACAUUUGUAGUUUGCAUCUAGAUGAUCUUGCAGAGUCAUUGUAUCGAAUUCCUUAUUUUUUAUUUAUUUAUCACAUAUAAAUGAAUAAAUUUAUAUUUGGCCCAAAUCAUUUGGAUAGCUUGAUUCAUCUGACAUUUUUCAUUCGGACAAAAAAAAAAAACGAAGGUAGGGAGAAACAGGAGGAAGUAGUAUUUGUAUGUCCUAUCUACAGAAAAAGAAAGGAAAAUUGAAUAUGAAUAAUUUUAAUUCUGGUAUCAAAAUCAAUAAAUGUUAUAAAAUUAUUAAGUUUUUAGGAAGAUAUCGUGCAUGUAGACUAGGAUGGCCUUUCAAUUUUUAGGAUUUCAUUCCUAACACGUUUUUAAAUGACCGGUAAAUUCAAGAUGAAUGAAUAUAACAUUCUAAAUAUCUAAUAUUUUCAAAUUGAUGACAAAUAUUAAUAUUUGUCGCAAAUCUCUCUAUAUAAGUGCAAUAUUUUUUAUAUAAUGAAUUAUAGAAAUAAAUAAAUAAUAAAAAAAUAAAUAAUAAAUUUAAAAUCAAUAAUUUAUUUUAAUAUAUUAUUUUAAAUUCAUUUAAAUUAUUUUAACUUAGCAUCGAUAAUGUAUAAAUUUUAAAUCAGUUUUAAUUAUAUUUAUUUUUUUAAAUAUUUUUUAUAUAAUUAAAUAUAAGAAAAUAAUUUUUAAAUUUUUUUUUAUUUCAAGUUAUCUCGUGAAUUCACCGAUAAAAACUGAAACAAUAUUUUAAAAUAAUAAUAGUGUUUUAGUAAAAUAAAAUAAUUAAUAAUGUUAUAUAUUUAAUAUUUUUAAAAUUUAAAAAUAAAUCAAAUAAGUAUUUUUAUAUAAAAUAACCAAAUAUCAUAAUUGCCCAAUUUAAUGGAAUAGACACAUCCAAGCCCACCCUGAAUACUAAGUUUGGGUCGUGGUGUAAGAAAUAGGAAUAAUAUAAGUUGCAUUCCUAAUUUUCCUUAUUUGAUUAUUUAAAUUAAUGAAAAUUUAUUUUUAUUAAUUUUAGAUUUUUAGUUUAUUAUUUUUAAAGUAUGUUUGAAAGUAAAUAUAAAAAACGUUUUUAAUAUUUUUAAUAUUUAAAUAAAAUUAUUUUUUUAAGUAUUAAAAAUAUUAAAAGCGUUUUUUUUUUUGUCAUUAUCAAAUCGGAUGUUAAUAUUUUAUAAGAAUAUGCGCAUGCCAGGUUGGCGUUUGGUAAGUCUGGUGACCGAUCAACAGCUGUUAGCGUUGAGGUGGGGUCUACGCUCCCCUCUUCAACCACGCUACGCAUUCCAUCCCCUCUGAUACACCUCCACACACUCCUGACUCCCCUUCGUCUCCUCUUCGUCCUGUCUGGCUCGUAGAUCAUGUAGGAAUCUAAACGAAAAUCCCAUAGGUUUAAUAAAUAUUAUAUUUAUAAAAUUAUUUCUAAAUCUACAAUAUUUUCAAAAAAUCGAAUUAAUAAUUAUCUUUUAUCAAACAACUUGAAUUAAAAUUUGAAAAAGAUAAUUUUCAUAUUUAAACUGAAAUUAUGUUUCGAAAAGAUAACCUUCAAUUGUUAUUAAAAAAAAUAAUGUUUCAACAUUGGAGAGUUUACCGUCACUGCUCUACCACCAAGCCAUGGAUCACAUUCUUCGUAUCCCUCUCCAAAGCUAUUUUUACCUCUCAUCUUUUCUCUUCUCUGUUCCCUUGAAUCACUGAGUAUGUAUAGAGAUUUACUUUGCUGUUACCUCCUCACUCACUUUUCUCUUCUCUGUUCCCUUGAAUCACUGAGUAUGCAUAGAGAUUUACUUUGCUGUUACCUCCUCUCUCACUUUUCUCUUCUCGCCCUCUUGAAUUAGUGAGUACCCAUAGAAAUUUUCUUUCUUGCUGACUCCUCUCUUCUCUUUUCGCUCUGUCGAAAGAGUGGGUAUGCACUAUGCAUAGAGUUUUACUUUGUUGUUGCCUCCCCUCUCUCGACUCUCAUCUUCCCUUCUUGCUCUCUUGAAUCACUGGGUAUCCACAGAUAUUUACACUGUCGGAUCGUAUUGAAUUUAUUCUUCCUUAUUUAAUAAACAAUCGUCUAAAUGAAAACAUGAACAGUUAAUGUUCGUAUGGUUAGAUUAAAAAGGCCCCUCAAAACCCCAUUUUUAAAAUUUAAUCUCCCACCAUUUUUUUGGCAUCAUAAAAAUAUUCCCAUUAUUUUCUUGUAAAAAUAAUUAUUUUUUUUAAAACCUACAUGCAAAUACUUAAAAUAAAAAAUGAUAUUUAUAUCAAAAAAUAAAUUAUUUUUUCAGAAAAAACAUGAAAAAGAGUUAGAUUUUCGAUUUUGGGAAAUAUUUUAUCACUUUUAACCAAAUAUUUCUAAAAUCAUUUCUUUUUUGCUGCUUUUUUUUUUUUUUUUUCGAAUAUUUAUACAAAUUUUAGUUUUUUGUUACACGUACAAAUGGUGUAAAAGCCCUCAGACCACAUUUCUUUCCGAUUUGGUGCAGGGUUGAGUAAAUAUUUCAGGAAGGAGUCCCCUUGGAUUCUUGAACGUCCAACUCAUGCUCUGCUACCAUGAUGCAUGAGUCAGCUUCCAGAGAUGAGGCUGAGCUUUUAUCCUUCAACAAUGAUUCUUUUGGUGAACUUAGCAUCUCUGUUGAGCACUGAACGUCGGGUGUAAUUCCAACCUGGUCUAUGUCGUGUAAUGCUGGUGAUAAAUACUUGGCAACUGUCACAAACAGAGCUGAUCCAUCAUGGAGCUCUGUAACACUCUGUGCCAAUUAUGAUGAUAAAACAAUUAAAACCAUGACAGAAAUGGCAAGAAAAGAACAGCCACUACCACAAACACCCAGUUUCUAGUGAACUUCUGGAGGUCUGGUUGAUGACUAUAAACUGAAGAGAAAUCUUUAGUAUAUCAUGACUGAGACUACCUGAAUUUUCCCUUUCCCAAAGGUUUUAUGCCCGACAAGAAUAGCUCUACCAUUGUCAUGCAGUGCUCCAGCCAGAAUCUCACUUGCACUUGCACUGCCCUCAUUCACCUGUUUCAGCAAGGGGAAAAAAAUGGCAGUAGAAACCAUUUCAGAGCCAUUCUAUGAAACCCAUGUUUUAGGCGUGCAACUUAUUGAAAAAAAAUAAAAAUGCAGAGCCACUUUUAUUACUUGUAAUUGAAAUAAAAAUAGUGACAGUACGCUGCUGAAGGGUCCGGAACUUACAAGCACGACAAGUGGAUCACGUGUUAUGGCAUGCCCAUCGACCAUGUUAAUGGGUAGCAUAUUCCCAUCCCGAUCAAUGGUGUUCACCAAAGUUUCGUCGCCAUCUAGCCAUAUUUGGGCAACAUCAAGUCCAACUUUUACCAAACCACCCUAUUAUAUGAUUUGAAAGAAAAAGACAAACAGGAUGAAUGCAAAAAAUGUUGGAUGGAUAGUCAAUGAACUUUCAGAAACAAAUUCCAUCAAUUCAAGCAUUGUGGAGCUACCGGAUUGUUCCUCAAAUCCAGUAUGUAUGAGCAUACAUCCUGAGCCUCCAUUUCAUGAAUGCAAUUUUCCAUUUCAGCUGCAGCUGUCUGUCAAGAAAGAAAAGCAAUGGCUGGAUUCAUAAGAAAAUAUAAAAGUAUGACAAGCAUUCAGCUGGUAAGGGACUGAAUUAUUGUAAUUCAAUCUAUAAUUGCAAAAAUGAGAAAGAAUUGCAUCUGUCCAUGGCCAAGAGAUGAGUUAAAGCAACAAUUACCUGAGAAAACGCAGACAGCUUUACAUAUCCUAAUUUUGAUACAUGGCCAUCUGGGGUUUUGUGGGGGAUGAUAGCACUGGAUAUGGGGGAAAGCUUAAUAAAAUCACGGGAUAGUUUGACCUUCAAGAAGAUCGACAUGUUCCGUGUCAGCUCAUCAUAGACUAUUAUGAAGUGAGAAUCAAACAAAGCUCAUGCAUAUUAAUGCAGGACACUGCCAUCCAUUAUUUAUUUAAGAAGGUUUCUUCUUAUGGAGUCAUGAAGACAGCCAUUGCAUUCUGUCAUAAACCACUACCAACCAAUGGAUAUGUGAUGAAAAAAUACCUCUCUGAAACCAGAGUCACUUCCCCAAUCUGUUCCCUGGAUAAGAGAACAGUAAAUCAGUUAGGAAAUUCAUAUUUAUAGAGAAGAUGACAUAUCAGCACAAAAACCUAAAAUAAAAGAAAUACUUUUUCCCUAAAAAACAAGGGCACUGUCCAUUAGAGAACCAUAUCAGACAUCAAGUGUUAGAUACUUGUCCAUGCCACCAAAAUCACUCAAAAUCAGCGGCUAGAGAGAGGAAUAUUACACUGUGAAGUUUUACUGUAACAGUUGUUCCAACACGCCCUCGAAGCUUCUGUGCUGCUGUUUCAUCAUCAGUACCAUCAAGUCUCUCUCCUGAAGCCCACAAACAACAUUCAAGAUGACUUGUGUGAGUCCUUGUUAUGAACCUUUAAGGUCAUAUUUUGACCUUGUACAGAACAAAGGAACAAGAAAGGAAAAUCCUGAAAAACUACUUUGAAAAUAAAUCUUUCUCAAGCUAUUUUCAGCAUUCGUAAUUCCUUUCCCUCAUUCUCCUUUUUAAUUGGAAUGGAGCCUGAAGGAUAAAGGAUGAUUAAUUAUGUGAUCAAGAUAUUACAUAUGGAUUAAUACUCAUUUUCAGCUUGGUAAUUAACAAGGUCAAAAGCUUGAGUUAUACCAUUAAUCUCAAUCAACUCAUCUCCUUCAUGUAUGCCAGCACGAGCUGCAGGGCUGCCCUCUAUGCAAGACAAAACAAUCUGCAAUCACAACAAAGAAAAUUGAUACUAUAAUGCAUGAAUAUGUAACAUAUUACAUGUUAAAUAUGGCAUUUGACGCCAUCAAUAGAAGCAUAUGCAAUUAUUUUAUGAAUGGUUUGCAUAAUUAACACCACAUGCUUGACUUUAUCCUACAGUUUAAGGAGUAAAUAACAUGAAAAAUGGUAGAACAAUAGACUAUUGAUAUUCUUCAAAUCAUUGACAUGAUUUGUUAGCUCUCUUCUCCGAUAUGGAAGCAUAAUCGAUGAGCACAUAAGGGUUGGUUUGGCAAUGUUUUAGUUUUCAAAAUAAAGUUUUUAAGAACUGUUUCUUAAAACAGUUUCUAAUUGAUUUGAAAAAAAAAAUUAUUUAGAAACUCAAAUAUAGAAAAAUGAAGGUAGUAUGCACUUAUGUACAAUAUGAAAAUUCCCAAAAGUAUUCUCCAUAUUUUUAGUUGUUUGUCAAAAAACAUAAAAUAAAAAACCUAAAAACACCUCAGAGUGGUUUUAAAAAAUAACCUAGUUUCACAACAAAUUCUUUAAAAAUUAUUUCGAUAAAAAUAUUUGUCAAAAUGGUUUCUCAAUUAGAAAUCUGUUUUCUGUAAAAGUUCUGUACGCUUAUGUAUAAUGCAAAAAUUCCUUAAAUAUUCUCAAUAUUUUUAAUUGUUUCUUAAAAAACUUGAAAAAAAAAAGAAUAAAAAAACCCUUCAAAUUCUUUAAAAACAAUUUUCAGUGAAAAAUUUUGUCAAACAUGUACUUUUCAAUUAAUAAAUUGUUUUCUAUUUUAAAGAAUAUAAAAUUAUUUGCAAAAACAUUUUUUGAGAUAGGCCCUAAAUUUCCUAGCAAUGAAAGUGCAAAACAACUCAUGCUUAAAGUGUAUCCACACAAGAAGAUAGCCCCACAAUUCUCAGGUGAAGGUUAAAGGCUAAUUGAUGGCUGAGGGUUCUGGCCUUCUUGCUGCCAUUUACUUCCAUUACAUUAAUCUCAGUAGGAAGUUCUUUUUGUUUCUGUAAUCUUUACUAUUUCACUAGCUUAACAUCAAAGGUAUACACAAGUAAAUUGUAGGCUUUCUCCUACUUAUACAACCAACAAAAUAUAUUAGUUACCAUUUCACAAAAUUUCUGUUCUUUGUCUAUGGUUCCUCCACAAAUCACUGUAUUUAAGGUAGAAACCCAAUUCUAUUCUUUUCAUAUAUUGCAACAACUACCAUUCAUCACAAUGGUUUCUUUUCCUUUUCACCCCUGCCUUAAUUUCUAAUUAAGAGCUGUAAUAUGUACAUGCAGGAGUUUGACGAAUAAAGCCAUACAUGACGAGUAGCAAUUAGUUCAAGUAACUCAACAACUCAAGCAACAGAUCACAUAAAGGAAGCUGGACUCCAAUAUACCUAAAUAUGACCAGCUUGGGAGAUCAGAUAUAAGGGAAUAUAGAGACGAAGAAAUCACUAACCAAAUGGCCAGUUCUGGGCUCGGCAUUGAUAAAAAUCCCGACCCCUUGCAAAUUCCCGUCACUUCCAAUUCUAAAAUUUUGGUAUUCCUGUGGGUAAAUAAACAAGAAAAAAAAAAUUGUUCAAAACACUUCUAUAUAGAUGAGGCAAGCCUGACUAAUUUAAGAGGGAUGAAAGAGUCUUAUAUCGAUAUUGAUGAAGAGAGUUACUUCUUUCUUAGUAUAAUAAAUUGAAAGACCUUUGGACUAAUAAUUCGUGUGAAGGGGUCUCCAAGAGUAGAAAGCAUUCCACUAAUUUUGUUGUAGGCUGCAUCCGCCGUUCUCAGGGGAAACAUUUCCACCAUUGUCUGUUGUAAUUUCAGAUCCCAAUCUACAAUUUCAUAGUUCCCGUCAAAUCCGUGUUGAUGAAAAAUAAUAAUUAUAAUUGUUCCUCACUUCCGAGAGAUCCGUACCUUGAUGAUUAAAAGUUGGAUCUAUGAAGGUUUCUCUAAUCAAACCCCAAGUCUCAACCAGAGUCCUCUGAACUGUAUUCACCUGGCAAAAUGCAUCCAGUUGAACUCAGCAAACAAAUCACAAAAACAACACAACUCAAAGGAGAAACACGAUCAAACACAUCACCUCACGAGCGCGAGACACCGGAAAAGCCACAGUCAGAGACUCAGCAAGCGCCGGAGAGUCGCAGCAAACCGAAAACAUGGCGGCCGCCGCCGCCGCAACGCCGAACAGUCCUCUUCCGAUGGACCUUCUCCAAUCACUUUCAAACUUAACCAAAUCCCGAUCAUUCAACUGCACUUUGCACUGCGUUGCUACAGUCUUAUACGAAGAAAAACAUGGGAAUGAUAGAGUCCAGGCUUUGCAUUUUCUGCUUUUUCUCCGAUGAUUGAAGGUGGAAAAUGGAGAUAAAAGGGAAGGGAGUGAGUUUGGAUUUGAGAAUUUGGUGGAAAUCGGAGAGAGUGAUUCCAUCGUUUGGGGGAGAAUGGCUCCGUGAGCAGAGAAGAAGAAGAAGAGGCGUGUAUAGAUUCUGAGUGGGGUCCAUUUGAAUCUGUGUGAGUUGUGGCUGUGAGAUGCUUUGCGUUUGUGAGUAUCUCACUCAACAAUGCCCGGAGCCGCUCUUGUGCUUACACGUGGAUUUUGUUCUCCGCAAUGAGAAUCCCACACUCCUCUGUUUUGACUCCCGUAGACACUAGAAUCUCAGCCUUGUAGUGUAAAUGGGCUGUACUGGGCUCGGACCUGUCUCGGCCCAGCUCAGGCGGGCCUCGUAUGAAUUUAAAGAUCGUUUUAAUAGACAUUCGUUCUUCUCCUCGAAAUUUAACCGCUGAAAUUUGGGUUGGGGUAUACAACGCUUUAAACCGAGGCAAGGAUUGUCCUCACCCAAGCAUUAGCAAGCACCGAAGUUUGUUUAUCCCCGUAUCCAAACAAGCUCUGGAACAUCUUCGAUCUCACUCACUCCUCCAAUCCCAAAUCGAUUAAACCCUAGAGAUCCAAUCCCCAAAGGCAUUUCGAUAUUCAACUUCUACUAACAAUCUGCAAAAAUCCACAUUCGCCAAAAUUUCUAGGGUAUCGCUUUGAUCGCAUUCAAGUCUCCAAAUUUCGACAUCAAUGGACGAUGAUUCUGGGUCGCUCCGUCGAAUGUCGACCAGAACCCGAAAAGUGGCCUCCAGAAUGGCCGCCGCCCUUGCCAGCACCGAUAAUCGAAACCAGGUUCGGCACAACAUCAAACCCUUUUAUUUUUUGGUUCCCUCCAUUUCUAAUAUGAAUAGUCAACGAAAAUAUGUUGUUUAGGCAGCUCUUGCACGGCUGGAAGCGCUGGAGAAUGACAAUGCGGGAAUGGAGACGAUAGAUGUUAAUGAUGAUGAGGAUGCUUCUCUUGAUGAUGAUGAUGAAGGUCAAAUUUCCUAUUAUUCAAGUAUAUUUUUGGUGUUGAUUUUGCUGUUUUAUUUUUAUUUUGCUUUCAAGAUGGAAGUUAAUCGAUCAGGAAGUUGAUGGGUGACCUCCAAACUGUGUAGACCGCAAUGCCAUGAAUUGAAGUAGAUGCAUAUGAACAUGGUCAGUACUUUCAGUGAAAAAAUGGCAUUUAACCAUGGGUAUUGAGAUGGGGAUUAUGGUUUUUUGCUCCAGUUCUUUCAGUGAUAGACUGUUAGUGAAUAACAAAAAUUCAAUUUCACAGAUAAAUUUAGUUUCUGGUGGGUGAUAUUUCUUCAAAAAGUUGCUGUAUAUGCAUCGUAUGAAGGAGAGUCAACACCAUAGAUACAAGGAUCUUUAUAUCAUAUAAUCCAUUCAAGCAUCUUGUUCCGAACUUAUAUUUUUCUUGGCUGGAAAUUUCUGAUACAAGUUGAUUGAGAUUUCACACUUGGGUUUUAAAUCAGAACACAAAUCAAUAUUCAGUCCUCAAAUUCUUUUUCAUUCUUUCAGAUGGCUUCUUUUGGAUAGUUGAUUAAGAAAAUGGAUAGCUUUGAUGGGAUUUGUUGCAUAAUUUAACUUCAGUUUCAAGGUUUUAAGAAAAGCCAUGAAUCUGAAGUCUAACAAUGUAGAACUUCAGCUGUACAGAGGAAUUAAGAAAGGGGAAAGAACCCGACAAUUGUACUCAGAACAAGUUAUUUUCCACCCCUCUCACCUGGCCCUUGUGUUAUAGACAGUGAAUUGCCACCUGCUCAAUCUUGUUGAUGAAAGUCAGUUCCCAUUUUUUUUCUUCUAUUUCCCAUUUCAGGGUAUGCACAAAAGAGGCAAUCCAAGGGCACAAAACGAACGACCCGGCAGGCAAAAGCUCUCGAGAAUGCCAGGAAGGCCCCAAGAACAUUCCUUGAACUGGUACAUGAGGUAGGUAACAAGCAGCAAAAGCUGGUUAUGCCCUUUUACAUUCAAUUCUGAUAUCUCCCAUUGAUACUCUUGCAAAACCAGGCCAACCUUGAAUCUUUGCCUCCCCAUGUUCCCUCCUAUUUGAGAGCAGCUGUAGGACCUCCAAGCUCCACCUCCCGGCGCCAUUUCUGCACCGUCUGUGGAUUCGCUGCCAACUAUACAUGUGUGAGGUGUGGGACACGCUUCUGUUCAACCCGGUGCCAGAACAUACACAAUGAUACGCGUUGCCUAAAAUUUGUUGCCUGAUCCUUGGCUCAACCUCCUCCGAAUUUGCAAAAUACUUGUAACAGUCAGAAUUAAAAUUUUAAAUUGUGUAUAUGGAUUGCUCCAAUGCUUUUUUGAUCCAUGGGUAGUUAUGAUCGAUCCGGGUAGUUUGUAUGGAGUGAUUUGGAGUCUCGUUUGAUUUGGGAUUUAGAGCAAGUUUGAAAGUGAUUUCAAGAGGAAUAGAAAUACUUACUAAUGUUUAGAAGCAUUUACUAAUAAAAAUUAGAAAUUUGAUAAGUGAUUUUUUCAAAAAAUUUCAAAAAUUUUAAAAAUUAAUAUUUCAACCAAAGUAUAUAUAUAUAUUAUUGAACAAAAAAAAAAAAACACAACCUUAGUCUUGGUUUAACCCAUAAGCCCAGCUAAAAAAAUCUAUAAUUUAAAAUUUGUUAUAAAUUAAUGGUAAAUUAAUGUGAGAAAUAUUAAUGGUAAAAUUAUUUUUAUCAAAAAGACAAGUAUCAUCCUCAAAAUAUUUAAAUUUUAUUGAAAGUAAAAUAAAAAACUAUAUAUCUUUUUUUUUCCGUAAAUCAAAUUAAAGAAUUUGAAUUUGUUUUAUAUUUAAUUUUUCGGAACUUAUAAUUUUCCCAUGUAAAAUCUCUUAUUAUCGUUUCUAAAAGGAACUCUCCAUUGCUUUGUAUCUUGUAUUUAAUUACAUUAUUUUAUAUCUAUAAAUCAUCAUCGUGUACCAUGAUAGAGAGAUAAAUAGGACGGGAGAAUUGAUGAUUGGGGAAUGCUCCCAUUCCCAUUCCAAUUCCAUACUCUCAAAUAUUUUAUUAUUCAAGUGUUAAAAAUGAUAAAAAUACUUUAUAGAAUCACUCUCAAGCUCUUGAAAAUUAUUUAGGGGUAAUUCUAUAAAGCAUUUUUAGUUUUUCUAAUAUUUGAAUGAUACAAAUUUUUAAAUAUUAAAAAUAUUAAAAGCGCUUAUUAGAAUAACUAUAGAAUGAACCUUAAGAGUGUGUUUGACAGUAAUUUUAGUAUUUAUAAUAUUUAAAAAAUAAAAAAUUUCAAGUAUUUAAAAAACUAGAAAUGCUUUUCAAAAUUAUCGUCAAGCGCAUUUUAAAUAUGUGUUUGAUAAUAAUUUUAUAAAGUAUUUUUAAAUGUUGUAAGACUUUAAAAUUUUUAUUUCACAUUAGAAAAGUUAGAAAUAAUUCCUCUACCAAACACUACCUAAGAGUGCAUUUGGGAGGGGUUUUAAAAAACAUUUAUAGCAUUUAUAAAACUUGAAUGAUAAAAUUUUUUUAGCGCUUUCUAGAAUCACUAACACUUGAAUGAUAAUAACGCACCAUAAGAGCCCGUUUGAUAGUAAUUAGAAGAAGCACUUUUAAUAUUUUUAAUACUUAAAAAUUUGUAUCAUUAAAGGAUUAGAAAAAUUAGAAACGCUUUAUACAAUUACCCCUAAAUGCAUUUUAAGAGUAUGUUUGAGAGUGAUUAUAAAAAAUGUUUUUAAUGUUUUUAACAUUUGAAUAAUAAAAUUUUUCAAGUAUUAUAAAUAUUAAAAACACUUCCUAAAACCAGGCUCCAAAUCUCAAAUGCUUUCUCCGUUUUUGUUAAAAGUCCCUUAGCCGGUGAAAAUACUUAAUAUAGCAGGACAUGGAUUUGCCGGACGACGUUUUAGCGUGUUAUCGCUUUACCCGUAUUUUAAACUUUUGAAGUUGAAACAACCGCCUUUCCUUCUAUGCAUAUAUUUGAAUCAAGAAAGGCAGACACAGUCGCUUUCCGCUCGAGAAAACUCACUCCACCGCCCUUUCUAUAUCGUUUCUCUUUCAAUCCUUCGCGAUACAUGAUAUUUUGCAAUCAAACGGUUAUAUACUUUGGUGCGAUUGUCUAUCCAUGUUUGGCUAAUGCGAGGGUUUUCUGCAUUUUGCUGUCGAGUUUUGUCUUCAUUGAACCUUUUCAGGUCCCAUUUGGUGCCAGUUGGUUCUGAAUCGAGAUUAUGGUUUUUGGCUCACGUUUAGGGUUUAAAAUGGUUUAUUAAUUAAACAGUUAUCUUCUCUGGUACGAUUCUUUAUGAUUCUUAUGCCAAUGGUUUAGGGUUUCAAGAAUUUUACCGUGGAAUUUUGUCUUUAUUGAACCUUUUUCUGGUUCCAUUUGGUUUUGGUUGUUGCUAACUCAGGAUUAUAAAUUUUGGCCCUGUUUAGGGUUUAAAAUUGCUUAUUAAUCAAUCAAGUGUUUACCUUCUCUGGUAUGGUUCUUUAUGGUUCUCAUUUUUUGGCUAAUGCUAGGGUUUUCAAAAGUUUCCAAUGAAUGUUGUCUAGAUUGAACUUUUUCCUAUUUGUUCUCAUUUGUUUCUGAUUCAGUAUUAUGAUUUUUGGCAUGGUUUAUUUAUUAAUCAAGUGGUUAUCUUAUAUGGUAUGAUUCUUUAUGAUUAUCCUGUUUGCUAAUGCUAGGGUUUUGAAAUUGUCUAGGUUUUCAGAAUUUUUUCAUGGAAUGUUGUCUCGAUUGAACUUUUUCUGGUGCCAUUUGGCCUUAACUGUUUCUGGUUCAGGAUUAUGAUUUUUGGUGCAGUUUAGGGUUAAAAUCAUUUACUAAUCAAAUGGUUAUCUUCUAUAAUUUCCUGUUUGGCUAAUGUUUGGGUUUUGAAAAUGUCUCUUGUAGAAUGUUAUAUUGAUUGAAGUUUUUCUGGUGCCAUUUGAUCUCAAAUGUUUCUGGUUGCAUAGUUUUAAAAUGGUUUAUUAAUAGUGUUUAUAUUCAUUGUGAUGAUUCUUUAUGAUCCUCAUUUUUGGCUGAUGCUAGGGUUUUGCAAAUGACUAGGGUCUUGCAAAUCCUCAUCCUCUUGUUAAAAUUGUAUGUUUUCAUGUCAUUAACCACCAGUGGGUUUUUUUUUCCUCUUCUUAUUUCUAUGCAAAAUUUUCCAACUAGUUAUGAGGGUGUAUCUUCAAUUGGUUAUACCAUCCACCUGACGCAUUUUAAAGCUUUUGUAAGACUAUCUCUUGCUAGGGAAUUCUUCUUUAUCAAAGCCAUCAAAGAGAUUUUACUGCAUCAAUCAAACAUUGGCCCAGCAUGUACCAAAAAAUUAAGAUAGCAACAAAAUUGAAUUGUUGCUUCUAUAUAAUUUAUGUCAGGGUUCUGCACAAAAAUUGAGGUCUUUACUUGCUCUCUCAGAAAAGCAGUCCUGAUAUAAUUCCAUGGUUGUUUCAUUUCCUUAUUACAAAAUCCAAGAUAUUUCUCUACCAGUUUCCAAAUGAAAGUUUUUUUCUACUUCUUUCUACAUCCAAAAGGGGGUAAUAUAGUUUAUUCUUUUACAAAUCUUGAAGAGUCUAUGUUUCUUCUGCAUCUAUCAUUCAUCUUUUUUUUUUUUUUUUUGGGUGUUAUAUUGGUUGAGGACUAGUUGGAACUUUGGUUAUCAGUUGCAGUCCAGCUGGAAAAUGUUAAAAAAGUUGGUGAAGUUUAUUUUCCUGAGCUUGUAUUGAAUUAGCAGGAAAUGACUUGUUUGUUAAAUAUAAAUUGUUUAACCUUUAGUAUUCAAUGAUUACUUAUUCAUGAUAGUGAUGAAUUCAUGUGUACUGCAAAGUAUCUUUCUUAAAAUUGAUUACAUGUUCUUUUAUGCUUCAUUCCUGUAUACAUAUGUACCUAUUUUUUCUUUGUUUUGCAAAGAUGUAAACAAUCAUGCAGGCAGCUUUUUUAUGCUUGGUUGGGGAAAUUAAGGCUACGAAUGGGAACAUAGGUUGCUAGAGUGUAAGGAGAAGUUCAUAUAGUUUUGACUGCUAGGGAUUAAGAGAGUAGGAAAAGAUAAAUAAGCAAAAUCAUAAUAAAACCAACAUUGAAAAAGAAGAGGGUUAUCACCUAAAUUAGAGACAUAUAUCCUGUAUUCAAAGAUUCAUAUAUAAAAGAAGAGUGAAGCGAAGAGAAAGGGGGCAUAUCUCUCUUUUAACUAAGGAUUUUGGGUCUAGGGGCAUAUCAGGAUAUUGGGAUGGGGUUUGACUUAAAGUUGAGUCAAAUCUUAGUUUAAUCAAUCCAGAACAAUUCCAAAUGGUAAGAUUAGUACUUCCAACAGUCUCGUUGUUACUGGUAACAUAAUGUUGGUGCUGGUUACAUAAUGGCAUAUUCCUGGGAUUGUACCUUUGUAACACAAUUAUUUUUUAUUAGAGAAUGAAGUACAAAGCAUUUGCCUGAGGGAUUAUUCAGGAGGGACUGGUAGGUUUUAACUUCAUUCUUUAUGACAUUUCUGGAUAAAAAUGAAAAAACCUUCUAAAUUUAAACAUGUUUAGACAAACAUUAAGACUGGAAUCUCUUCAUAAAGGGGACAGAAAUCUUACACAUAACUAGAUAUUUAUGGUAGACUAAGCUAAAGUAGCUAAAUCAGAAAGUAUCUAGUUCUUCUUGAACUUCUUUUGAAACUAGUUUAGCUAGAAACUUCACUGCCCUGGAUGAGUGAUAUUAAGACUGAUACAACUUGACUGGUUUGGGCCUGUUACUAUGUCUCUGAGUCAGUCGUUGGCUGUUUUUGGAUUAUGAGACUGAAUUGGGCCAGUGGGCUUCACAGUCUAAUUCAUUUUAAGUUUAGAGGAUGACAUAAUAUGCACUGGUAUAUCCAGUUGCCUCUUGAGGUUGAGUCAGCUUGAAGCUUAGAGACUGGUUGAAAGCUUUAGCUAAUAUGAGGUAACAUAGAUUACUAAACCAGAAUCAGUUGUUAAGAUAUUAAAGCUUGAUUAAAUGACAAAAGGAAUUUGAUUGCAUUUCUAAAACUACCUUAGGAACUAUCAAAUGAACUUUUGAGACUCUGGAAAAAGUUUAGGUGAGAACUGUAAGUUAUACUUUUAAUGAGUUGAUAACAUGUGGUUUUAAUUUUGCUUUUAGGUGUGAAAUAUUCACCACUGGAUCUGUUAUGAAAAGAAAAUUUUUAGGACUAGUUUCUCUCAUUUCUGGUCUUGGUUAUUUAUUCUGAAAGACACGUUCAAAAUUUCCUAAUGAAAUUUUAGAUCCCGAAUAUGUUGUUUCUCAUUGUUUCUGGCCAUGUACUUGUUGUCCUUUCUUCUAUGAUUUUGGCCUUUCUCCUACCAUUGCACAUGGCUAAAAUGUAAGGUAUGUAUAAAAUGAAUUUUGAUGCGUGUUCAAAGUUUAGGAUUGGCCAUGCACAAUCUACACUUUACAAAAUUGAAAACUUACUUUUGAUGUGUGCCCAAAAUUGAGGAUUGACCACAUAUCCACUCUCUCUCUCUCACACACACAUGUUUGGCUAACGUGUUCUCCCACAUUCCAUGUGCUGCACAAGCUUGUGAGUUGUGAAUGCAACUGAAGUCAAGGAGAGGAUGACAUUGACAAUAGAAAGUAUAUAUAGGGGUAACAUGUUCCAAUGUGGGACUGAUUGUGCAUAUAGGGUAAGCUACACCAUUUUCUAAACUCUGCAUUUAUGAAUAGAGAGUGUCAUAGAUCUCAUGCAACUUCAGAACAAACCUUCUGAAAUUUAGUUCUGUUAGAUUGUGUGAAAUAAAGCGUCUUUGGAGAAUGUCAGUUAGAUAGGUGGGGUUUAAAAUCCCAAACAUGUCAUGUAAGAAACAUAAAUCUGUGAAAGAUAUUCAUUAGAACUAAAGCUGCCCCCUUUAGUCAUAUUUGCUUUCAUUUAGAAAAAAAAGUCGAGGUUUUGAUUGGAUUUCUCAAAGUUAAAUGAGAGAAAGGGUAUUGGAAAGAGGGAGAUAAAGACACCCUCACUUAAAGCAAAAGAAUGGAAAAGUGUUCAUCCACUGAAGGAGAGAAAUAAAAGCGGGUGCCCCAUGAUUUAUUAACAGGGCACACUCAGAACUAAAAGGACAAUUCUGCCCUUGUUAUACAAUUACCUUGUUGUAUGAUCUAGAGGACUAUUUUGGUUUUCCAAUCUUUUUGGGUGGCACCCUGUUUCAUAUGCCCUAAUUUCUGACCAUAAAGAAACCAAAUUUAUGAUUUCCACACUUUAUUGGGAAGAGGAACUGCCCCUUAGAUACGCUCAACUUAAAUCAAAGAUUGAUUGAAUGACUGCACCCAUUAAAAGCCAUCUGAAACUACCCCAACAGACCACUGACAGAGAGGAAUGACAUGAAGUAGACUGGCAACGAUCCUUAAUUGACAAGCAUGGGCAGAGUUGUGACAGAAAGAGUUAAAAAAGUGAGGAUGAAAAAUCUUUUCUUCUAACAGUAUUUUCAUAUUUUUUUUCUCCUCUUAGUGAAUGGGAAACUGCGGGAUGCAGUAAAAUAAUUAGUAAAACUAUGUUUUUCCCCCAUGUAGUAUGUUAUUGACCAUUUCAUUUGUAUUGUUAUGUUAAUUUCUUACACAUUACGCAUGUAUAUACACGUUACUUUUUGUUUUGGUGGUGAGAAACUGUAGAUGUGGUCAGCCUUUUCGUCACAAGAAAUAUAACCUGCUUCGGUGGGUUUUCAAUUCCCAUGUAGGCUAUGAAACCCAUGCUUAAGUUGAAACUUUUAACAUUGAAAUUUCAUAUUCUUCUAGGAAGGGAGACAUGUGAAUUUGAUGUAUAAAAAAUAAUUCGUCUAACUGCCAGUGGUCUGUGAUGUUGCAUCUGCCCAUGUGUUUUUUGGUCGCUUCCCAUCUGCUUCCAAAUCCAUUUCCUCAAGGAAAAAAAAGAAGAAGAAAGAUUUGUCCCCUGCAUUAUCUCAUCUUCCAAAAGUGGAAGUGAUCGAGAAGGGCAUCCUUAAUUUUCCCACCGAAAAAGGAAAAAGAGAUUAUUAUUUUGAGUUUGGAUCUCUUGUUAGCACAUGCAUGGCUGUCAAUGAUCUCUAUGAUUGUAAUGGAUGCUGAAAAUGAGAUUGGGGGAUUCAAUAUUUCUGCUACCUGUUUUUGCUUAGAUUCUUAUGUAUUAUUUUGUGUCUAUUCUUCCAGGUUUUGGUACAAGAUAUUACAGCUUUAAUUGGGUCCUGUUAUUUGAUGCAAAUCUAUACGCUUGAGAGAAAACAUAUGGUGUUUCAUCCAGCAACCUUACAAGAGAAAGCCAAUUGAUUCUUGAGAUUGUCAGAGUUCUUCCACCCGGUAACAACAUGCUUGAAGAAAUUGCUAUUCUUUAUGCAAAUAUUUCAUAGCGUGUGGAGAAAAUCAUUUGAUAGAGUCUGAUGUGAUGUGGUGUAUGUGUAUUGAAAUGAACUCUUUUGAUCAGGUUCCUAUGGAGUUGGUUUCUAUGUCUCUCUCGGGUGGGUAAUAUUUUGGAGUAAAAUCAAUUUGGUGGAAUCCUAAACCAAAGAAUCCCUUUCAAUCCAUGUAAAUCAUAUGAUAACACAACUCUGGAUUAGUCUUUUAUCAACUGAUUUAUCAAAAAUUUUGCGUAACAUUGUUUCAUAAAUAACAGAUAUGGUGAUUUCCUUUUGUCGGUGUUUUUCCCCUCUAAACCUGACGGGUAGAAUAGUUAUAGAAUUAGAUAUGUAGGAUUUGAUUAGUCUGUUAGUUACACUAGUUUCCUUUUUUUUUUUUUAUGUUGGGGGUGGGUGGGUGGGUGGAUUGGGGUUGUUAUGUUUAGUGAAAAGAUGGAAUGGAUUAACUUUUGUUAUUCUGUACUAGAUGUCCAAAAGGUGGACCAAAAUGGACAUCUCUAGUAGGCAUAAUAGGUAAGCAACGUGAAGACUGGGGGAGCAACAAAGUGAAUGGCUCAUGGCUGACCUUUUUUUUUUUUUUUUUUUCCUUGGGAGGGUCAAAAUAUCUGUUCAUUAUGGGAUCGGAGUAGGGUGGUGUUUAGGUAUAUGGUUGGAGAUUUAAGUUGAGAUGUGAAGGAAGGUCAAGCCCACUUUCUUCCUUGUCCACAGAUGAAUCUACCUACACUAAACCAAAGCCUAGUUGGGUCUAUGACUCUUAUGAUCCUAUGUAUCAGUAGAGAGAGCAUAUAUAGGCAAGUGGAUAUGCCCACUUUUUUUUCCAUCUGUAAGUGUGUGUAUCAUUUAGACAUGAGCAGGUGAUGUAGGGUCUCCCUUGUGACAGUUUGGGCCUAUACCCUUUAUUCUAUUUGUCUGCUCAUUCCAUGGGGGGUCCUUAUCCCUCAUUUCAAGUGGACGAUUAUGCAUCCAAAAAUAAAUACAAAUUCAAAAUAUUCAUGCAUUUUGGUACCCCACAAAGCUUUCAUAAUGAAGGAAACCAUCUUUAGAUGUUCUCUCCUUCAUUGAGACAAUACCUUGAGAUGUUGUUUCCUGUUGGAAAUAGAAAUGUGUUUGGUAACGCUCGUUUUAUGAAUUAAUAUGAUAAUAGGAAUAUAUUAAGUAUAUUUAAUAAAUACUACUUAAAAAUGAAUUAAAACACCAUAAUAAAUAAUAAAAAUGAGAAAUCUAUAUAUAUAUAUAUAUCAUUAAUUACUCUAUUUUUAUUAUUAGAAAUAUAUACAAACUAAAAUCCACUCUUCUCAGUGUUUUGGUUUUACUCUUUUAAAUGGCAUCGUGAUUUACUUUUAUUCUCAUUCUUAUUUUCAUAUCAUGGUUUAGAAAAAAAAUAAAGGAAAUUUUUUAAAUAGAUUUAAAACUAAUAAAUUAUUUUUAUUAAUUUCAAACUCAUUUAUCUUAUUUUAUCCAUUCUAUGUAAAAAUAAAUAAAAUUAAAAUGUACACUUUUUUAAUUAAUUUGAAUUAUAUUUAUUUUUUUAUUCCUAUUUUUAUAAUAAAAUAAAACAUGAAAAAGUUCAUUUUUUUAUCAAUUUAUUUUUUUUCUUUUCUUUCAUAGUUCCUUGAACCAAACAAAUGAUUAAAGUAACAACUCAAAGAAAUAAUUUUUUAAAUUCAAAAUAAUUUUGGGCUGUUCUUGAUCAAAGCUCUCUGCACCAGCAUCAGGUAUUUAUUUCUGUUGCCUUGAAAAUUGUUUUCUUAUUUUUAAAUUUGGGUAAAGAUCUUCCUUCCUUUGGGGCUUUAUCUUUUUCCUACUUUAGAUUAUAUACGUAUUGGUAACACAAAUGGUGGGGGGAUAGGAUCCUUCUAGGAAGCUGGUGAAAGUGCUCUUUUUGAAAGAAAAAGUGGAGUCUUUUAUUUUACCUUGAUUUGUUUUUGACAAAGAUAUGAUGAUGAUCUUUCAGGCCCAUCAUCGUCAAAAAAGAAGGGGCCCACAGCCCAUAUUUUAUAGCAGAUGGCCAACCAGAGCGUUGAAUGGAGGAUUGUUAUUGGUCAGUCAAAUUUUUAUCUGGACCAGUGUUGCCAUCACUGCCUUUUUUUUUUCUUUUUUUUUUUUUAACUAACAAAAAAAAUUAACCAAAACCGCCACUGUGUCUUGUUAAAAACCAUGAUGACGUGGUUUCGAUCUCAUUCAUGUCCCAUGUUAAAUCAUCAUUUGUUAAUCUCAUAGCCUGAUCGGCCGGAUGUACGUGGGGGCUUCAAUUGUUUUUUUCCCCCCCUUAACCUCAUUUGGUACGAACGCCUGAUUUUACCGGCGGUUCGGUACAACCAGAACUAGCUGCUGUUAAAUACUUUUGGCUCCGCACCAGCAGCGGCUGGUUUUGGGUCGCCGUGGUUUUCGUUUCCCCACUUGUAAUUUUUUCUUUUUCCUUUUUUUGUCCUCUCUGUUCGAUGAGCUUCGCUGUCCAGGUUUCUAACAAUGAUUCUCCCUUGGCAUGACCUCUUUCUUUUUCAUUUUUAUUAUCAAUUUUAUAAUUUUUUAAAAAUAAUAUUGAUAUUAUAAUAUUUUUAUUUUCUUAUUAAUUAUAGUUCUUUCAACAAAAAUCAAUUAUACACAUAUAAAAACUCUUAUUAAUUUAACCUUUUCAGAAUUUAGUACAAAAAAUGACCUUAAUAAGAACAAAUUCAAAAGCUCUUUCAACAAAAUUAUGUAAAUUAAAUAGGUAUAAAAGAUCCUUUGAGUUCAAAAAAAAAAAACUUUGACGUCUUAGAUCACGAUGAAGGUGUACAAGAAAAUAUUAAAAUCCUCUUUAAGUUUUUUAUUUUUUUAUUUUUUUAUUCUUUUUAAAUAAAAAUAAAUAGAGUAGAUUUUUGGUACAAAAUAUUUAUUUCUUUUCAAAUAUAUUAAUUCUAGUUCUUGGAAUUCCAAAUCACCAUUUUUAUUGCAAAAUUUAAUGGGCUUAUAAUGUUUUACUACUAUUUGGUUUUGUAAGUAAAAAAUUUUACCCUUUAAUCUCAAACAUGGAAGGGUAAAAAUCCUCCCUUUCCAGUUUCCCCUUUCCCCUUUCCCUUUCUAAAAAAAAGAAAUGUUAGCAUUUCAAGAAAGAAAAAAGAAAUGAUUAUAUUGAGAAAAAUAAAACUAAAGCAAAGGGAGAAGAGAGAAGAAGGAAAGGAUUUGGGAGUUGGUUUUCUAAGCAGAAGUCUAGAUGAACAUUUUGAUUAUUUUUAAAUAUUCUUUCAUGUCUUAUCUAUUAGCUCAUUGGUCUCAGUAAUGCCCAAAGCUUGGAGUGAUUCAUACUUGUGUGGAAAAUCCAUUUAAUAAUAUUUAUAAACUCCAUGUUCUAAAAGGCUUUCACAUGUAUUCAUUUACACUAUUCUUACACUUCAACCCUUAAAACCAUUUUUUUUUGGGUUACUUUUAAUAAACAACUUUUAAAAAUAGUUUUUGGAAUUACUUUUUUAAAACAAUUUUUUUUUCUUAUUUUUAAUAAUAAAGUUUUAUUUAAAAAUCAAAUAUGAAAAAUAAAUAUUUUAUUUAAUCUCCACAAAGGUUUUGUGCACUUAAAUAUAAUACAAAAGCUUUUGAAGUACUAUCCUUAUUUUGAAUUGUUUCUCAUAAUAUUCUAAAAAAUAUUUAAAAAUAUAUCAAAUUUAUUUUAAAAAAUAACAAAAAAUUCAAAAUAAAUUAUAUUAAAUACAAGUUUAAUAAAAAAAAUAUCAAAUAUGUUUUUUAAAUAAAAAAAUUCUUUUCUAAUUUUUAAAUAGAGACUCGGCUCUUAAUUUUUAUUUGAAACAUUAAAUUAUAUAAAUCAUUGUCAUUUUUCGUACCGGUUGUUAAGUCAAAGCUAGAAUACCUACAUCCUCAUUUCGCCUAAUAAUGCUAUGUUUAAGAUUUUAAUCUUGGGUUUAGAAUGUUAAAAAGGUAAUAAGAAAUAUGUGCAUGUAAUGACUUAGAGAAUUAUGUCAGUAAAGUCUGACCAUUUGUUAACCUACUACCCUCGUUAACAAGGAAUGGCUUACAAGGGUAAAAAGAAGACUUAAACAUCAUGAUGUUAGGAAAGUUAAAUCUAUUGGAAAAAUUAAAGUUAAAUUUGCUAGAAAAAUUAGGUCUUAAGGAAUAGGAGUAACAAAACUUGACCAAGUCCAAAAUAAGAGAAAUAGGAAUAUAAAAUUUGAAUGAGGGCAAUUAUAGGAUUAAGUUGAAGUGUAACAAUUACUAUCCUUAAAGUACAUUCGCCCUAAGGUAACUAGUGACCCACCUCCAAAAUUCAAUAACCAAAAACCCUCACUUUCGAUGCAUACCUUGAGCAAGGAAUAGUACAACUCAAAAAGAAAUUCCUUGUGAUGAAUACGAUGCAAUAGCAAUGCUACAAUGAGAAAAAUGAGAAUGAGUUGUUGUAGAAGCGGUGAUUAUCUUGAGAGGAUUGGUCAUAGUGGCAGAAUGAGAAAGAGAGACAAAUGGAGGUUGGUAACAAUCGAGAAUAGGUUGCAAACAAUGACAACUAGCUAUUGGCUACUCGUGGAAGGAGUAAAGAAAGAACAUAAGAAAGAGAUAGAGUCAGAGAGAGCUAGUCUUCUAAGGCAUUGAAGAGUUCUAAAUUUAUAUGCAAAGAACUUAUAAAAUGACCAUAGGAGUAAAGGGCUAAAUGGCUACAAGUCUUAAAGUCUAAAAGGCUAAAUGAAUUAAAUUGGGAUAAUUAAACCAAAUUAAUUCCUUUGACCAAAUUUUAAAAAAUUUAAGAAAAAUCAUAAUGAAGGGAAAGAAAUUAAUUUCAAAUUUAAAAUUUAAAAUAAAAAUAUUGGUUUUCAGAUUGCAAAAAGCCACUGGACUUGUGAGUGGCAAAAGGGAGGGGGAGAAAGGGUUCCUUUGCGUAGGAUGUGUAUGUAAACACCUUGCACAAUAAGGGUUUCUAGCUUGAGCCACCCAAAUUCUCUUUCAAAUGGGGUGUGAGGUUCUCUUUUGCCUCUCCACAAGCUCAUGACGCUAAGGAAAUGAAUUAGUAUAAAUACCCACUAAAAGUGUCCACCCAUUUCCAAUGUGGGAUUGACAUUUUCUUUUCUUUUUCACUUUAAACACUCUCUCUCACACACACUCUACCAACAAUCCCACAUAGAGUGUAUGUGUGAAGAAAAAAAUGUCUGAAGGAAAAAACUAGAAUUUAAUGCAUUAGAAUUAGUGUCAAUAAGCUAUGAACCAGUCUUAGUAUAAAUAAGUAUUAAAUUAUAGAGACUUGAUGAAAAAAAAAAAUUCUAUGAACCAAUAUUUCUUUAUGUAAUUCAGGGAGCCUAUCAUCCACAUUGGUUUUACUAUGAGAUGUAUAAAACGAGUUGGUGCAAAUAGGUCAUACAACCUGGAUAUUCUUAAGAGCUCUAGAUAACUUGCUUAAGUUCUCAUAGGAAGUGGCCCCACCUCUACUUACACCAUAGGGAUGGUAUCAUUAGAAGUAAAUAUAAAACGAGUUGGUGCAAAUAGGUCAUACAACCUAGAUAUUCUUAAGAGCUCUAGAUAACUUGUUUAAGUUCUCAAAGGCAGUGACCCCACCUCUACUUACACCAUAGGGAUGGUAUCAUUAAGAGUAAAUAUACUCAUCCUUAGUCAUUGCAAAAAUUAUUUUAUUUACACCAUAUGGAUGAACUCUCAUAUAUAACUGAUAGACCAUCUUCCAAUCAACAAGUGAUUUGUUAUUAACCAUAUGAACCUACUUCAUGGGGUCUCCAUUUUAAUAGGUUGGGUUUCCAUCACUCUUGACUUCUGUAUUAGGCAUAAGUCUCACCCCCUUCAAAGUUUCUUCCAUUAAUUCUGAUUUAGUGGUUUGGUAAGAGGAUUAGCCAAAUUCAACUCUAACCUUACAAAUUCGAUCUAGAGAUAUAAUCCUUAUCUCAAGCAAUUGUGGCACAAUAUUGUGUCUUAGGCAUAUGUGUAUAUUUUUCCCAUUAAAUAUCUUACUCUUAUCCUUAGCUAUUGCAGCUUGGCUAUCAUAAUGCAUAGACACAAAAAGUGUUGGUCUUGUCCAUAAAGGGAUAUCUACUAAGAGGUUUUUAAGACACUUAGCCUCAAAAUUUGCCUUCUCUGAGGCAAUAAACUCAGCCUCCAUAGUAGAUUGAGUGAUGUAUAUUUGUUUGACAGAUUUCCAAGAAAUUGCACCUUUUCCGAAGGCAAAAACAUACCCACUAGUAGAUCUCCACCAGAAUCAAAGAUCCAAUUAGCAUCACUAAAUCCUUUAAGGACACUUGGAAAUCCAUUAUAGCAUAAACCAUGGUCAAUGGUGCCUCUCAAAUACUUAAGUAUUCUAGGAAUAGUAGCCCAAUGGUCUUGAUUAAGACUUUGGGUGUACCGACUUAAUCUGCCUACCGCAUAGGCAAUGUCAAGUUUGGUAUAGUUCGUUAAGUACAUUAGGCUCCUAAUAAUUUGAGCAUACUUAGUUUGGGCAACGUUAUAUAUUGUGUUUUUCUUUAGUUGUGAGUUAAGAUCAUAAGAAGUUGAAAUCGGUUUACAGUCAAAGUAUUCAAACUUCCUUAAAGAUAUUUUCAACAUAGUGUUCUUGAAAUAGUUUAAACCCAUUAGGUGUUCUAGUUACCUUAAUUCCUUGAAUCACCUUUGUCUUUCCUAGAACCUUUAUGUCAAACUUAAAUCCUAGGAAUUUCUUGGUCUCACAAACAACCUCUAAGUUAGUUCCAAAGAUCAACAUGUCAUCAACAUGGAGGUAGAUGACAACAUAUUCAUUAUGCUCAUAUUUGCUGAAAAUACAUUUAUCAACAUCAUUAAUGGAAAAUUCAUUAGUUACUAAUACAUGACCAAUUUUAAAAAUUGAUUUUAAUCAAAAGUUUGAUAUGUAAUUUGGAAAAUUUAGGUUUGAGACUAAUCAAAAUUUGUCUCAUGCUAUACACCUUAAAAAUCAUUAUUAUCAUCAGCCAAUAUAAAACCAGAAUAAAAAUUACAUAUUAUAAUGAAGCAUAUGAUAUCUUUGAUAUAUAUUUUUUCUACACAGUAUAAAUCUUGAUUUAACCAUGGAAUCAACAUAUACAAAUAUAUGCAGGAAAAAGAAAGGAUUUUUUUUCCUGUUGUGAUAGAUGCUGCCAAGUUGAAAAUGCAUGCAUGGAAUCUCUGGAAUACCUUGAAGUACUUGGGUUGUCCAUGUGGGUUUGCUUCUGAGGAGUUAUCUUGGAUAAUGGAUGUGGGUGUCUUUGUCUUUGGCAUUUCUGUUUGAUCUUUAGUUGGGUCUUCUGCAAGUAGACCCUUCAUUAUUAUAUAUCUCAAGUUGAUUCUUUAAGAAUUAUAUAUAAAGAGAACCCUUUUGAUUUGAUAGGAUGGACGUCAAACAUGCAUAACUUUCUCUCCUUAGUAGCAGAGAGAAAAGCCUAGAUAUGCUUUGUCUCUAGAUCUCUCUCUCAGUAUGUGUGUUGAGAAUGAGAAUGCUCUUUCUCUUUCUUCUCUCUCAAGUUUUCCUUCUAUAUUCCCCUAAUGAAGAUACCCAAUACCUACAACUUGGAGAAUCUCCGAGCAUUAAAGUAGCACAACUUUAGCAGAAGGAAAAUGGAUCAAAGCAGCAUAUGGCACGGAUAAUGAUCAUGGGAAAAAGAGAUCUCUAGGUAUAGUCCAAAAGAAGUAUUUUUGUUUCCUCUUGAUUUAUUAAUUCAUUCAUUUAUUUGUUUAUUUUGUUUUUCUUUUCAAAGGUGAUUAUGAGUCAAGCUUAUUUUUGCCUUUUCCCCUUUUCUUUUUCCCAUUGGGGCCUCUCAAAACAAAGUUGUCUCAUAUUAAUUAAUUUCAAGAAAAAUAGAAAAUGAAUCCCAUAUGUCUAGGGCAAUGGCUCCCUCAAGUUCUCUCUUCUUUACAGCUGGUCCAAGUGGCCAAAUACAGGUGGGCUCAAAAGAUCAUAGCCAUAACCUCACAGAAAAUCAAAGAGUAUUUAUGAAUCUCUUGUACUCAUUUAAACCUUCGAUAGCCUUUAGUACCCAUAGUGCUUUCAUGUAUUUAGAUUUCUCUGAUCGCUUUUGUAAACAAAUUUCUACUUGAAGUAGAAAAAUGAUUUGGAUCAAUUGUAAGAGAUAUCUCUUUCUGUUGUUGAUACUGAAACUAUCCCUUGAGAGUGGUAACUAGCUAGUGAUUCGAGCCAAAGGAGACAAAGCUGUCUCCUUUUUGUGUUGGAAUAUGAAUACGAGGGGAUGAUAAAAAUGUAAUACAUAUUCUUCUUUGUAGGGAUUCUUGGUCUGCUUGACAAGGUCACGGUGACAGUGCAUGCAUGCUACUUUUAAACUAAUAUUAAAUAACAUUAUUCAUUGAAUAACAGGAAAAAGAGAAGAAAAAAAAGGGGCCUUGGGAUUUUAAGUAGGGAAGGCUGUGUUCAACUGCUAGGCAAAAAAAAAAAAAGGGAGGGGGUGGGUGGGUGAAAACAGUGAAUUCUGUUAAUCAGAUGCAUGUUAUGAGAGAUACCCUCUUAUAAUUCAGGCCAAUCUCUGCAUCUUUCUCUUUAUUCAAAGAAAUGUCAAAGAUUCUGUGGACUGAUCCUUGGUUUGGAUAAUAUGUAGUUUUAUUCUGUAAGAAGUUUCCAUUUAAGGCACAUAUAUCUUAAUAUCCAUGUCUUGGAAAGUAUUCAUACGUAAGAUGCUUAGGAUUUAGUAUUUAGUAUGACCCUAGUGUUUAUUAUACUGUAGGGUGUAUUGGUGGGUUUCAAGGAAGACUCUCAUGGAGAGUAUGCACAUCUUCAAUAAGUAAAAGGGUGAUGGGAAAAAGAAGUGGAAUGGUGGCCUUUUUAUAAUGGAAAGGGUCAAUUUUUGGUAGAGACUGGUGGUCUCAGCAGAAGGGUAAGAUAUUGAUUGUCAAUAAAUGCUCAGUUACUUGUUUCUUGGUUGUUACCGUUGGUUGAUCUGGGGUGUGUUAUUGCACAACAGUAAACAAAGGAAUUGGUAAUAUACACCACAUGGCCAUCAACUGACAUCUUACACAACUAUAUCAGAUGAUCAUUGUUGUCAAGACAAAAAACCCUAAUAAAAAUAAGAAAAAGAAAUGGAAAGAAAGAAAUUGUUUUGUUUUGUAACGCAUGUUGCCGUAGUAGGAGUUGUCGUGUUGUUGCCCAUCAAUCACCAUUAUCAUUUUUGUUGAAGAUCACAAACAACGAUUGUAGGGCUGCAAAUACAAAGAUGUUGAGGGAGAUGAGUCAAAGGGUUACUGAGAUGUCGUUUCAGUCUACAGUUUAUCCAUCAGAAGGUGUGUAUGUACUGUAGGAGGCAUCAGUAUAUGUUGCAAAUCAGCCCAACCAACUCAGCUAAGGCUCAACACUGUUGCAGUUUCAGUCUGACCUUUGCUCAACUCUCUCUCUCUCUCUCUCUCUCUCAACAAAGCUGCCAACAGGAUCCAUUCCAUUUCCAUCCUCCCAAACCUUAUACUAGUCUAGUAUAUAAUUAGUACUAUUAUUAUUGCUCCUACCCAUCUUUUCUCUACCUUAUAAUAUUAUCUCUCUGAUCUCUCUCUUUCUCUUUCUCUCUUUCUCUCUCUCUCUACUCCCAAAAGCUAAUCAUUUGCUUUGAAUUUUCCAAGCAAUAGUGAAUCUCAAAUGGUAUAUGUUCCAUCCAUCAACAAACACAUCUCUCCACUAACCAAAGCAAAAGGGCAUCAUAUGCACCCCAAAAAGCUGAUGCAUUUGCAGGAUGAAAAGCCCAUCUCAACUACAUUUGGAACAAAAUAUACUCACCUGUCUUGUUAUCCAUUGAGCUCCCCCUCAUGUACAUCCUUUUAUCACUACGUACCCAUUCGUGACAUUGCUGUUGUGGUCCGGUGAAGACUCAUAUGAUGAUAUCAAGAUCUUUAAAAGAAAAGAAAAGAUGAAUUAUUAAAGCAAAAAGCCUGAAACAACCCACAGGAAUUAUCCAUGCAUUCAUUUAUCUUCUCAUCAUCCCUAAAAGUUACACCAUGUCUCACUGCUUAAUUCAGAGAAGCUUCUCCACCCAUUAAUUAUCUUCCUAAAUCCACCUCUCCCAUAAAUUAUAUAUCUAUAAAAAUAUGGUGUGAUUACACCAGGAGUACAUAUUCUCUUGGAUAUUAAUAAACCAGUGUCUUUCCACAAUGUGAAAUUAGCUAAGGCUAAGGAAAUGUUUGGGAAAAAUAAAGUCAAUAUAAUAUAUAUAUAUAUAUAUGCGAGGUUUUUGCAAUGUUUCUCAGUGCUGGUGUAGAAAUCCUGAUUUUCUGAUGCACUCUAGCCUUCCACUAAUACAUAUAUAUAGUUUCUCCUUAUUGCAUAGGUGCCUCUAUAGGUUUUCCUAUAUAAUUGCAAACCACUUUUCCUACAAGGUUUCCGCGCUUUAUGCAGUUGUGUUUCCCAUUUCUCGUUUCCUCAUUGAUGGCUAUGGCUCAGCAAAAUGAUUAUAUUAACCAGAACUAUGUUGUCAAAGGGUCGAAAGCCUAAGAUAAUCAAAGAGAUAGAAAAAGAAGCCGUGGACAUGAGUUGAAAGGAAAAAUGCAUUUACAAGAACUUAAUUAGUCUAACAUGGAUGUACUUUGGAUCUACCAUGCUCAUCAGGAAAAGGAAAAAAAAAAAGAGAGAGAGAGAGAGAGAGAAGAAAAAAAGAAACAAAGAGAAGUGGCUCUCUUAAGUAAAUUUUUUGAUGCUUCCAACAGUAUGAUAUAUAUUCUUGAUCACUUAGAGAGCCAUGGUGACUAUAUCAAUACCAAUAUAGCUCAUAAGAUAAGACAAUUCACCAGUCUUGAUAUCCAAUUCUUCUUCAACAUCACUGCAUGGACUCAUCAUCUUGUUCUACUUCAGAUGCAGGUUCGUCUUCUUCUUCAAAGCCAUCUAUGCCAUACGCUGCAUGGCCAUUCCCAAAAGCCUUUAUGUGGUCCUUGAGAGACCUCUUGUGCUUGAAAUCAGACCCACAAAUGCAGUACCAAAGCUUCCCACAGUUCUUCUCAUGGGUUCUCCAAUCUCCUCUCACAGCAAAUGCCUUCCCACAUUUUCUACACAUGAAAGGUUUGAUCCCAUGCUUCCUCUUGUAAUGUGUUUGAAGGGUUCUAAAAUCUUUAAGCGGCUUGGCCCUCGGGUGGUCUAUAUUGUUCCUGCAUCCUGGUGCGCAGCAAUAGCAUGGAAGCCUAAGCAUGCCCGUUGGCUGAGUGCCCCUUAGAGAUUCAGGCCCUUUUCUAUACUGAGAUCCAUGCCCCCACAUAUGCAUCUGCAGGAGUUAGUAAAAUUAACAUUAACCCACAUAUAAGGAAAUGCUCAAUUGAUACACAAAAUACUAAAACAAUAAAAAGAAUUCGUAAUCCCACUAAAGUGAAUGAUUUUAUCUUAUAAAUCAAAGUAGAAUGUCUGCCACAAACUUCAGCAUACAGGCCUCAUGAGGAACAAGAAGAAAAUGUACCAUGUAUGUCCAACAUAAGAAAUUGAAAAUAUAAAAAAUUUCAAACAGUAUGUUGAAGAAGUUAAGGAUUAUGAAGCGUGAGAAAGGAACGUGAUCCUUUGUCCUACAUGGAGUUGGAACCAACAAAUGGAAGGUGCAAACGUCUGAUACUUGAAAAUUUUCUGUUUGUUGCUGAGUAUGGAGAUUUAUUCUCGAAAUAGGGGCGUGUCCUUGAAGCUGCUCCUUCGUAUUGAACAGUUGUGGUGAUUGGUGGUAUGAAACAAAAAUGGGGGUUUUUCAUUUUUCUUUUUCGUUUUCCUUUGUUUGAACUCAAUAUGUAUGGAUGACGGGUCCUUUGUCUCCAAAGAUCUACAAGAAAAGAGCAGUAGAGGAAAGAGAAGUGGUUAAAUAAGGAAAGAAAUUUAACAGGAAGGACGCGGGGUUUUGAGUUUUUGGAGAUGUCUUGAUUCAGAAGAGACGAAAGAUGAAAUCCUAUGUAUUGGGUUUUCAUAUCCGUAAACUGUACGUUUGUUGUUGCAGAAUGAAAGUUCACAUAGAGAAAUUCUUGAUGAAGAUCUCGUCUGAGCCCUGGGGAGAACUGCAAAAUUUUCAGUUCUACACACACCUGCCAAUGUGUCGAGCACAGACUUCGAAGUACUAAAGGCAUAAGGAACAUUGCCUGUGUUGUUCCAUCACAUAAUGGAUGGUACUGAUUUGUCUCAGUUGGAUCAGAGAGAUUUAUUCAAAUCCCAAAACCCAUAAACCAUGCAAAAUAGAAAGGAAAGGGAAGAAACUCCCAGAAAAUUAAUAGAGGUGAUCAUAUAUAUAGGAUCAAAAUCUGCUUCCCUGAGUUUUCUCUUGGAAAUCAAGCAUAGGACAACCGAAGGAUUCAAAUCAGACUAGAAAGUGGGAGAGAAAAUAGGAAUCUUUUUUCUCCCCCUUUUCCUCCAAAAUUAAAACGGAAAAAAUAGGAAGGAGAGAGAGAGAGAAAGGAAAGGCAGAAGGGUUUUGGGGGACAUGUGAAUUCCAUAUGAGAAGAAAGAAACUCACCUGCAUGUUGUUGUAUCUAUUGAAGGUCUUGCAGCAAACAGGACAUGAGAACUGUGUAGGACCAAUAAGGAUCUGAGAUGGGGUGGGGAUCCAAUACUGACCCUUGUUGAGUCUGUUGAUGGGAUACCCAGAAACAUCACCAUCUCCAUCUUUGUCAGUGAUCUCUGAAGAAGAAGAGAGCAUAGAGGCCAUCUCUGCAGCACUAGGGCUUGGUAGACCUAUAUGUAGGGCAACAGUAACAGUUUCAUCAUCAUCUCCAUCAUCAGUAGCAGUAUUAGUGUUAGUACUAGAUGAGAAGAAGCUUUCCUCUUUGGCUUUCUUCUUCCUAUCCACAUCCAUAGCACUACUGCAGGAGGAGUGUUGCUGCUGCUGGUCUUCUUCAUGCCUGGUUGGGCUCAAACUGAGAAGGGGUAGGGCUUCUCUCAGAGGAGGAGAUGGAGGCGGGGUUUGAUAGAUAAUGGAGUUGCUGUGGCUGCUGAAGCUAUUGGUGUACAAGCUGUGGCCAUAGGGUGGCUGUGAUGGAGGUUCUGCAGAUGGGAAAUGGUGGAGAGGGUUGAAUUUGAACCAACCGGCGAAGAAUUUUGAGUAGGGGUCAGUCAUGGUGUAAAGGUUAGAUAGUAGUCUGGUAUUGCCUUGAUGAGUUUGCUUUUAUAGAGAGAGAGAGAGAGAGAGAGAGAGAGAGAGAGAAAGAGAGAAAGAGAGAGAAAGAGAGUGUGUACAAGAUGGCCGAAGAGUGGAUGGAUGGUGGAGAGUGAAGAGAUUUUGGAGAGAGUGAUUACGCUCUAAACAGAUUUAAUAAAAAUAUUAUUAGUAAAGCUAGUGAAGAACAUAGUGUUUCUUAUUAAUAUAUAUCUCUCACAAUAUAUAAAUAGAAUCUAGAAAAAUACAGUUACUGGCGGUUUCAUUCUUGGAUGGAAUUGCCCUUUCAAAACCCUCGUAAAAUUUUCUUCCACUGCUCAUGCAUUUACCUUUACCAAAUUGCCCUCCUUUGCCUUUCCCUCCUUGUCAUUAUCAACCAACUCACUUGGAUCACUGGUUAAAAGUUUGUUUCUUUUCUAUUUUAUUAUUUUAAGAAAUUAAUUCAACCUAAUGAAAAGUGACUUUUCUAUUUGGAUUCUUGGAAGUUUUAAGAUUAUAAGAGGUGUACAAGAUAUUUUGAUAUUACCCAUGUCAGUCACUUUUUAGAUGACUUUGUUGUCAAUCUUGAGAAAUUUUUAUUGCUAAAAAACAUUUAUUGAAUAUAAAAAUAUCUUCUCACCCAAAUUAAAAUUUUAUUUUUAUAUAAAAUGAUAUUGUGCACUUUUUAAUUUUUUUUUUUUAUCAAACUUUAUUUUUUUUCAAAAUUAAUUUUUUAAUAAAAUUAAUUAAAUAGGUAAAAAAAAAAUUCUCAUUAAACUUAAAAAUUAAAAAGACCAUGAUAUCCAAUGAUUGUCCUUUCUAUUAUCUUUACACUACCAUAUAUGCUUGUUUUCUUCUUAAACCUUUCAAAAUAAAGAAAAGAACUUAAAUCAAACCCAAGAAAGACUUCACUAAAGCAGUGAAGUUUCAUAUCCAGACUGUGAGAAUAUAUGCAUCUAGUCUUUUCUUUCUCUGUCAUUCAUGUGUAUUUUUUUUUGCCCUUUAAAAAAAAAAAUGAAGGUAUCAGUAGACAGGAAACAAGUUGUGUCAAUCUAACCCGGCAUUUUCUUAGAUGUGCGGGCGCUGGUCGGGUGAGCUCUGUCCCAAAACCCACUCCUCCACACCCAUAUUUUUUAUAUUGAUGGUGAUACCCAAAAAUCUCAUGAACCCACUUCAAUCCUUCCAUCUCCAAAAACAAAAAAAAAUGAAAAGAAAACACCACCUAUGGCUAUUACCCUUAGCUUUAGCCUUGAGGGAGGUGCAUUUAUUAUCAGCCAAACCUAUAUCCCAUGUCGGUAUUCACUUUGUCUUGUUCUAUACUCUGACCGCUUUUAAUGAAAUGCCUUAACCCGACUAAAAUUUGCAUCAAAAGAUGUCUUAUUAUGACCCAAUUAUAGCUUGGCUCUGGUGUUAAAUUAGGUUCCCCUUUUCUUUGUUAUCACAUCAUCAAUAGACCUGCUUUCCGUUGAAGAAGCAAGUAGAGCUUGUAUUUCCCUUUUCGUAUAUAUAUAUCAUUCUGAUUCUCACUUCAUAAAUAUUCCACCAUAUUAACCGCAAGAAAAUCUAGUUUUUUCUCGUCAAAAUAAAAGUGGGUUUUACCUUAGGUGUUUGAUUGAUUAUGGGUGUGGUAGAUGCUAGAUACAGUAUGUGUUUACUACACCCAUGAUCCUGAUUUUGGUUUGAUGCCUGAAGAUGAUGGAAGGAAAGAUAGGCAUGCAAUUUCUAACUAGGAUCGGGAUGGACCCAUCAUAUCUGGAGGAAAGGGGAUGUGGUCAACAUUCAUUCAGAAGAACCCAUCCUAGGACAUCUAAUCAACACCCACAAGUAACCCUUGUAACCUCACAAGUUUUGACACUUGAAAGAGGACUUUUCUCAAUAGUACGGUAAUUUAAAAAAGUUAUGCUUAAAUUAUUGUAGUAGACGAACUUAUUACAAAUAUAUGGUAGUUUUUGCCACAUAGGAGAGAGGAGAGAGGGUGAAGAGAGAGGGUGAACGGGAUUUCAGAAAUCGUACUAUUGAGAAAAGUCCCUUGAAAGACCCCUCAAAAAAGGCCAAGUAGAAGGCGUUUUCACAUAGAUGCUGAUCCAUUCUAAGGUAGUUUCGUUUAGAAAAAAAAUCAAGCUCUAUAAAAAAUUAUUGUUUGUUUUCAUUGCCACCAUUCAACAUGGUGAAUGUAGAUGAUAUUGUUGCAAGUAAAAAAAUAAAAAUAAAGAGACGUGAGGUUUAUGCUUUAGCUGACAAGAGAGCUGGAGAGUUGGGGUGUUGGCCAAUGUUUCUAAGUACAAUUUUGAGUAUAGCUGAGACAUGUACAGACAUGAGCACUGUUCAACGUCUUGCUGCAGCAAAUCCUGACCACCACCACAGAGCUGAGAGUACCCGCACUUGACCACCAGAGAGAUUGGGUCAAUUCUUUAAAUAUUAUGUGUAUUCCUAUGUGGGACCCUUGUUUUGUGACUUUGUCUUCACUAUUGGGGUGAGAGAUGGGGUUUGUGACAUUGUAGCAAAGAGGAAGCUAGAGGGGGGAUAUUUUCCAUCUCUUUGAGACUGAUAUGUGUACCCACAGUAUUGAAUGAUUGCACCUUAAAUCUAGGCUUUAUCUACUCUUCUUGUUCACUCACAUUUAAACUCAUCACCCUUUAAAGCUGCCACAGACAACAAACCGUUAACAUCAUCUUCCUAUUGAAUCCCAUUCUCAACAAUAUCCAUCUCCCAUUCCCAAAUAAUCACCCUAUUUGACCAUCUCUUCAUUUAGUUUUUCCUUCAAAGCAGAAGCCCUUAUCAUAGUUUUAUUGCAAACAAAGUAACUAAAAGAAAAGUGGGUGUUGGAAAUCUCUACUAUUUAAAAUCCUCAAGGGGGUUUGGAAGUGAGACUGAGGAAAUGAAAUCCAACAUCUAACCAUAUUUUCAGUACAUGCAUGGAGAAGAUGGAGGGUGGGAAGCACUAUACGCAUUGGGAUAUGCAUUUCAUUUCAUGUAUGAUAAAAUAUUAGACUCUCAGGUGAUUCUAGGCCCUGGUACUAGUUGAUAUCUAAUAAAAUAAUUUAACAGGAAAGGGG
rnacentral:lncRNA from 1 species